AAUAAGGUAAAGGGACCCCUGACCAUUAGGUCCAGUCGUGACCGACUCUGGGGUUGCGGCGCUCAUCUCGCUUUAUUGGCCGAGGGAGCCGGCGUACAGCUUCCGGGUCAUGUGGCCAGCAUGACUAAGCUGCUUCUGGCGAACCAGAGCAGUGCACGGAAAUGCCGUUUACCUUCCCGCCGGAGUGGUACCUAUUUAUCUACUUGCACUUUGAUGUGCUUUCGAACUGCUAGGUUGGCAGGAGCAGGGACCGAGCAACGGGAGCUCACCCUGUCGCGGGGAUUCGAACUGCCAACCUUCUGAUUGGCAAGUCCUAAGCUCUGUGGUUUAACCCACAGCGCCACCCGCGUCCCUGUAAAUAAAUAAAUAUGGAGUAGGAAAUGGGUGCAGAAUCUGCCCCACUCCCAUUAACUUCCUUUCCUUCCUUCAGCUGGCUAGAACUUCAUGGAAAUGCAGAACUGCAGCAUCAGGGGCUGGACGGAGGAGGAAUGGUGAACUUUCCUGAGAGCAGGAGGACAGUAUAGAUUUAGAACAGUGGUUUGCAGAAGGUUCAGAGGCUGCAGAGCGGAGAAGCUGGGAAGUAUUGGGAGAGGAGCAACAGGAAGAAGAACCAGGGGAAAGACAGCUGACAAACUCAGUGUCUUUGGAAAGCAUUCCUGAUCCCCCCUCUCAGGACUAGAUGGGCAUUGAGGGUAGUAGAACAGAGAGCUCAGUGGCAGAAAGCUCAGAUUAGCUGACGUACGAGUGACGUAGAAUAGGAGACACGUAGGGGGUGGGACUUUGCUUGGAGCAGUGCCAUUAUCUGAAAGGCGGCAUCAUGCAUCUCUCUCUGUGAAUAUUGAAUAAAAUACCAUGGUAAGAAUGCAUUGUUUUCCCAGCCAUGUGGGAGGGGGAUUGGAUUCCCAGAAGCCUGACAGUCAGUGGGUUUUCCAUGAAGAAGUGUGCAUGUACACGAAAGCUUAUACCCAGAACAAACUUAGUUGGUCUCUAAGGUGCUACUGGACAAUUUUUAAAAUUUAUUUCAGCAGUGGGCAUCUACCAUGGACUCUCUCUCUCUCUCUGUGUGUGUGUGUCUGGAUCUAGACACAUCAAAAAACAUGUUUCAGAAAAACACAUUGUAAACCUCAAAGUGGGAAAUCAGAUUGGCGAAAGAGGAACUCCAUACCGCCAUCUGAUGUCACAGUGUUAUAACGCAUAUAAAACACUUUUUCUUUACUAAUGUUGCUGUGUGUGUGUGUGUGUGUGUGUGUGUGUAAAAGGGAGCAGGGGACAUUGGGGGUCCUCAGGCACAGCAUUCUUAGUGGGUCCCCUGAACUUGGAAGAGGUAGGAGAUGCAAGCUGACCAUUUCACACAAUGGCCUGCACCUGAAUUUCUUGGACGUUCUGUACAAACUGACAGUGGGACCACUGAUAGGGCAGUGGGUUCUCUGCUGGUCUUGGGGCCCUGGCAAAUGCCGAGUGUUGCCACCCUCUAGAACCAACCCUGAAAGACAGGAGGAGAAUCCAUCCUUGUCAAUUCGCUUUAGUCUGGAAGUCAAUUUUUUUUAAUUAUUAUUUUUGCCUUAAAUAGGAAUGGCUUGAUAAAGGUUUCUGGUGUUUGCCAACAAGCGCAUACCGGGCCAUCUUGAGAAGGCAUUCUUGCAAACCAAACUGGAGAAUUAUGUGCGCAGUAUAUAAGACAAAGAGCAGCAAAGCAUUUAAUGGGAAAUGUUAGAAACCUGCAUAUUGUUAGCAAGAGAAGUGCGCGAUGAGGUUAAGGCAGACAAUAUAUCUGUUUUACUGACUGUGAAGUAGCAAGAGACAGAAAAUAAAAGUGAAAUUGCCCGCUUCUCCCUUUGCAAAUGUGAGCAAUGCCGAGACCACUAAAUCUUGACAAAGUGUUGGCAAUUUGAACUCUGAUGGCAACAGUCUGUCAACUGAAAUGUGAAUGAUUUUACAAGCACUUCCCCUGUCUUAUGGUGCUCUUGGUCUAUUGAAAUAAACAGGGCAUUUAUAAUAAUAAUAAUAAUAAUAAUAAUAAUAAUAAUUUAUUACGGCCGUAGGCCCAUACAGAUAAAAACAAGACAUAAAUAACAGCCUGUGCACAUGGGAAAAAAACAGCCGCUAAAACAAUACUAUAACAAUAAGCUACUAUAAGAUGGAAUGGCAUACUACGCCUUAAUUAGCUUGUGGUGCUCCUUGGCGACGCUUUGGGUAAGGACAGCGACCAGGAACCUAGCCACUUUCAGGGUCGUAUGGGCAUCCUUAUCCUGCAAGAUUUGGGCAAGGUGGAAUUUUGGUGGAGUACCCUCUAAUUUCUGUAUGAUUGAUCCCAACAAGUUUGCCCGUGGCACCUUAAAUAAGGGGCAAGUGAACAUAAUGUGCUGAAGCGACUCCGGCAUCUCCUUAUCACAUUCGCACAUGGCGGAGGUUUGGCCCUUUGAGAAUCUAUGUCUCAGGACAUUGGAGGGAAAAACAUUAAACCUCGCUUUGGUGAAGGCCAGCCUAUGGGCAACAGUCGAAAGGGAGGAGAGGUAUGAUGGAACGCAAUAAGUUAAAGUGAUACCAAUGUUCUGGGGCGAACAAACACCUCCCCCCAGCAUAUAAUUUUGCUGUAAAUCGAUGUCAUCCAGUCUUUGGCGGAUCAGUCUUUGAGCAGUGAUUUGAUCUAGUUUUAGGGAAUCUAAGGGAGAGAUUCCAUAGCUCAGGAGUUUGGCAUGAAUUCUACUGGUCCAAAGGCUGGGGAAUUCAUCUCGCCAUAAGCAUUGGGCAAGGUAAUGGUCUGGUAAUCUAUGCCACAAUGAUAACCAAUAAUUGAAGACUUGCUUCCACAGGCAGGUUUCUAAGGAUGCGAUCCUCAAUUCUAAACGCAUGGCUGCGUUGCUUACGCACAGGGGUGCAUUAGGAGCCGACGUAGGAAUUGGUUUUGCAAAGUCUCAAGAGGAGCAAGGUCUGUCAUCACGACCCAGAGCGGGGCAGCAUAAGCAAGCACGGGAACCACUUUUGCCUUGAACACCUUUAGGGCCGAGGGAACAUGCAAAGCUCCAUCCGAAAAGAAAAAUCGGAGGAGCGCAUAUGACAGAGUUUUGGCCUUAUUAAGUAGGUGUUGAAUAUGUGCUUUCCACCCCAAAUUGUAUUGAAAAAUAACUCCUAGGUAUUGAAAUUUUAGGACUUGCUCUAUUUUUGCUCCACCAAGCUUCCAUUCGUAUAAUCUCCGACUUCUGGCGAAAAUCAGAAUCUUAGAUUUAGCAUGAUUGAUGGUUAAUUGGUUGAGUUGACAAUACGUGGCAAAGAUCUUCAGAGCUCUGGUUAGUCCAACACGUGUAUAAGAUAGAAUUACCGCGUCGUCCGCAUAUAAAAGGAGUGGACAGCGGUAAUCCGCUAGUCUAGGCGCAUGUGUACUUGGAGAUGAGUUGACUAGGGGUGCUCGCAUGUCGCUGAUGAAUAGAUUGAAUAGGCAGGGGCCAAUAUACAUCCUUGGCGCACUCCCUUGUUUAUUGGUAUCGAAUUUGUGAGGUCGCCCGCAGGAGUAAGUCUCACUCUGGCAAGGGUACCUUCGUGGAGCUGACUUAUAAGCCAUAAGAGCCUUCUAUCGAUGCCCUGUUUCGCAAGUUUCUCCCAAAGAAUAUUUCUAGGAACGCUGUCGAAGGCUGCCUUAAGAUCUAAGAAGGCAGCACACAGAUAGCCCAGGGAGGGAGGAGUACUUCCGUGCCAGAUGGUAAAGAACUAUCGCAUGAUCAGUUGUAGAGCGUUUAAUUCUGAACCCUGCUUGUUCAGUGGCCAAUCUGGUUAGUCUCAUCUACCCCUCGCGAUAGUUUCGUCAGCAAAAAGCUGGCAUAAAUUUUCCCUAUGAUCGAAAGGAGGCUGAUGUUACGGUAAUUUUCCGGCUCCAUUGGAGAACCUUUUUAUGAAUUGGAACUAUAAUGGCCUCCUUCCAUAUUUUGGGGAUGAUACCAGAAGCGUUGAUUGCGUCGAAGGUUUUGGCCAAGAUGCCAGCCCACCAUUUUGGGUGUAGUUUGAUGGCUUCAGCAGGGAUCAGGUCGGGCCCUGGGGCUUUGCCCAAUUUCAGCUGGGCUAUUAGCUUGGCUAUUUCAUCAGGAUCGGUGGGAGGCCAAAUAGGUAGGUGGGAGAACAGAUGCAUCCGAUGGUCGGAGGGAGCAUCUGCCUGUGAGAAACAUUUCUUCAGGAACAAUUCCCAUGUCGGUGCAGGGAUGACUGCCCUUGGGUAUUUCCUCACCCUUCUGUUAAUCAGAGACCAGAAUUCCCUGGAUCUAUGUGAUUUUGAAGCAGUAAUCAAGGCCUGCCAGCGAUUAUGUUGCCACUCACGUUUGGCAAUUUUCUGCGUGCGUUUAUAAACUUGCUUGGCUUGUGCAUAACUAGCUGGCAGAGUAGAUGCAUCGGAGGUCUUAUAUACAUUAUAUAUAGCACGAAGGCGCUGUCUUGCUUGUUUGCACUGAGAGUUAUACCAGGGGCACCGUAAGUAUACUCGUUUCGAUUUAAUAUUUUGGGUGGUAACCUGAAGAAGGACGUAAGGUCCGUCGUAUGAUGGUGGAAGCGUUUCAACACUAUGCUAUGCUCAUCUGAGGCAGGGCCUAUGUAGGGAUGGGGCCCGAGGAUUUCUUUUUGAAAGAAUUCCUGAUACCUUUGAGCCUGGGUCUCCGACCAUUUGAUUCCUCUUACUUGAAGAGAUACGUUGGUUGCCAUCUGGGUCGCAUGUCUAUAGGUCUCCAACUGCCAAUUCAGGGAAAGCUUGGCUACAAGGGAAGAUGAUCACUAGAUUGUACAUUCUCGAUCUUAAAGGAGGAAAUACACUUAAGUAGAUCACUGGAGACCAGCAGGUAAUCGAGGGACGCUGUUUGAUUUAACACUCAGGUGAGUGAAAUCCCCUGGAAUAUCAGGGAGGCAUGUGCCAUUUAGGGGACCAGAUUUAAACGGAUGGCCAUUUGGUAGAGGAAUACUCCAGCCUCAUUAACUCGUUGGUCUUUAGAAGUUCUCCUCAUGAUAUGUUCCAGAUCAUAAUUAUCAAGGUUUGGGGUAACCCACCAUUUGGCUUUGGUCAGCGAGUCCCAAUUUGCUGCUGUGCGGGCAUUAAAAUCGCCACCUAUUAUGGCCGGGGUGUUAGGAAACUUGACAUAGCAUGAGAGCAAAUGCUCUUCUAGCGAGCCCCAUUUAGAGCCCAGUUCAGAGGAAGAACCCCGGGUGGCAAGUAAACAUUUGUAACUAGAAGUGAGAUCUUUUCCCCAUAAUCAGCCCGGUAAGAGCGUAAGGAGGCAAGGCCUGUACUAGAGUAAAUUUAGAAUGUAAGUUGAGGGAGAUGCCUAUUGUUGAGGCCCCUUUAGGGCGGCCUCCUUUCAGGGAGGGGCAGGCAGGGAGUUCUAGAAGCUCAAAGCCAUUUAGAUCAAUUCUCUCUACUUCCCACGAUUCUUGGAACAAGAUGAUAUGAAACAGGUUAAUAUACUCCAAGAAUUCUGGGUCAAGUUUUUUCCCCCUCCAGCCCGCAAUGUUCCAACUGAGGACUGAUAGGGGAGUUCCUGUUGUAACCAGUUCGUUGUCAUUUCGGGGAGGGAUGGGAGUCCUUUGGAGGGAAGGCAGACCCCACAAAAAGUCAGUUAUUUUACUUUGCAUAGCAGGCCCCUGCUGAAGGUACCUAGUCUUGAAGCUGGUAGUGAGGUAUUCUGACUGGGGCGCCAAACCGGGUCUCCCACUGGCUAACCCAAGAGCGGACACUUCAGUGGGAAACUCCAUAGGAUUUGCUGGGACUGCCCCAUCGCAAGGUCUAAAGAUCGCCGAUGAAACCAUUUGGUUUAUAUGUCCGGUCGGGUCUUCAAUCAAAUCCGGGCCAUUUUUGAUGUAGGUGGGACACCCCCUGACCUAAUGCUGGCAAAGGUACAGGGGAUGUUCGGCGUACUGGUACCGUAUGUAUGUCGGGUCUAUGCUGCUCAGGGGAGUAUGAGGACUCCAGUUCCGGCAUUGAUGGAUUAGAUGGUAAGGAGUUGUUUUGGUGGAAGGAACUCUGGGUUACACUCCUCAGCGGGGGACUCUUGGAGGGCGAGUCAAAAUUUAUCAAGAGUUGGGAUGAGGGGCCAGCUUGAGGGGCAAAACCUGGUUCUACCAAGCAUCGGUGGGUUUUGCCCACGAGUGGGGGAGGCAUGGGUUUAGGAGCUGGACAGAGGGCAUUUUAUUUUGAUUACAUCUUGCAUUUUUCUCGGGUACUUUUGGGUAGAAAACAUAAAUCUAUCUAUUACUGGGAGGAAAGCACAACAUCCUGCAUAAAGGAAGCCUGAAAAACGAUGUGGCAAAGUAAUCAGGGCUGAGACUAUCCAGCAUUUAGCCCCUGAAUGGGCAACAAGGUUGCAGUGUGUGACUCCCAGUUCCCUAAGACAGGGGUUGCGUGUUCAGACCUUUAAACCUCCCCCUUAAAUAAAUUCAGACAAGACUCAAAUUUUGGUUUGGUUUUUGGCAGAAUUUAGGCCACAACUUUAUUGAUUACAGCAAGUGAGUGGUUGCAUAGGCUCUGGUUCGACUAGCUCCCUGCCAUGCAGGUAGCGCUGACCCAGGGCACCAGCAUAGGUCAGCCAAGGGUGAACACCUGAGGUAGGUGAAAAGCCCAGGAACAGACUCUGUUCACUCCCCAGAUGCUCCCCUUGACUCAGGCAUGGGCACAACCCCCUCUCAGGGUUGACCAAACCAUCGAGUCCCUGGAUUCCUUUAAUGGAAUACCCUUCACAUAGGGAUGGCGAGAGCAUUCUCCCAUCCCUAUCACCUGAACCAGAGCCUAUCCGCAACCUUACAAGUUGUGACGAUUUGCUACGCGGCAGGUGAAACCCAAAUGGCAACAGCCAAUCAGCCAAGUGGGGGAAAUUCCUGCCGUGCCCCUGUCCCAAUGACAGACGACACACGACAGCAUAGCAAGGUCAAGCGCAAAGCCCUAAAAGUAGGGAGAGGUGGGUGGGAGAGGAUCUAGCUGGAGCAUGACCCUAUGUUUUAGCAAACCAGGAUCACAGUGCCCAACAGAUGCCUUGUUUUGCUUUCUCAUUGCUGGCUCUAGAAAGAAUUUUAAAAAGAAAUACCAUGGCAGCUGGUCCCUUAUGGCAAAUGGAGCCCUGCUCCACCAACCUCAAUCUGUCUUCAGCCAACCUCCUGCCUGUCUUUCUGCAUACAGCCAGUCUAGGGUGUGGCACGGGCUGCCAGGUCCCUCCUCCUCCUAAGUCUCCAAGUUGUCUUUGUCGAAUGCAGCAAGGAGGAGGAGGAGGAGGAGGAGCCAGAAUUCGUGGGCUCUGCCUAUCCUAUUCUUGCCUCUGGCUCCACCUACUGUUGACCUCCCUGCUCACAAACUCUCAUUUUGCACUUGUCGAAAGCUUUUCAGACAAAACAGGAGUAGGUUUGAUCUCUAGCAAAUUUCAGAAAAGUACCAAACUAAUUUCUAUGAAGGUUAACAAAACCAACAUAUCUGAUAUUAACGCAGCAGAAUCCGGACGGAAGAUAAUGACUUAUACCGAUGAAGCCAACUGUAGCAAUAGGCUUUAUUUCAGAGGUGAGGUCUGUUCUGUUUUGUGCUCCUGCAUGUCUUGUUCCUUACUGGAUAAAUGUGCAAAACGGAGAGGUCGUCUUUACAUUUUCCCUAUCUGCACAUGCAAGGAUGCGAGUGCUGCGUGAAUUAAAGUUCAUGCUUAUCUGGUUUAGAAUGGGAAUUAGUCCAGCUGGAAAUGCUCACCUGCCUAAUGAACAGAGCACCUUUGUAGGAAUGUGCAUGAAAUGUUCAACACCUUGCGUGAGCAGAAACCCUCUUUGUCCAUUGUUAGGCAUAUGCGGGAGAUGUGAUUUGGUGUGAAACCUCUGAGUCACCCUGAAACUCCCUUUGAUCGCUGUGAGAGACUCCGUGAACUACAAAGUCCAUGGCUUUGUAGAGCAACGAUGUUCUUUCAUGUUUACCCUCUUCUCUUAAUGCAGCUUGCCUUGGCUGUUGUGAACUAAGUGACCAGACUAUGACCUCGCUAAUUGGCCAUUUGUUUGGUUUCUCUCUGUUUGGGAGAGUUCUUUUGAUUGCUUCAGGCAAAUGCUUUUUCUUUUUCUUUGCAGAGGCUUAUUACCUCCUUCCAGAUCUAACUCUCAGAUCUAACUAUGGACUAGUAUGGGUGUUUUGGGAGAAAGGUGGGGGUGGCUCUGAUUCCCAAGCUGCUCACUGAUAUAGCAAUGACAAUUUCAAGGGGACUAAUCAAGGAAGUGUCCCGCCCCACCCCCACCCCUUGGCUACACCUAUCUUGAGAGGAGUAUGUCCACCAUUAAGGCACACAGAAAAUACUUAGAGAUUGGCCUUUCUCUGGCUUUCUCCUGAAACCUGCCUUGUUUGACUUUUAUGGCAAACAUUCUACGUUGAUAGUAGUCUUGGAUAUUGAAGUGCAAGCAUGGUGAGUUCCAACUGCCCCUCUUUCAGCAGGUUCGAGGAACCCUAAAUACUUGGCAUGAUGGAAAAACGAACUGUAGACACCAUCACCAAAAAUACCACACCAUACAUUUAAAGCACAUUUACAGCACUUUAAUAUACAGUGGUACCUCGGGUUAAGUACCUAAUUCAUUCCGGAGGUCUGUUCUUAACCUGAAACUGUUCUUAACCUGAAGCACCACUUUAGCUAAUGGGGCCUCCCACUGCCGCCGCGCUGCUGGAGCACAAUUUCUGUUCUCAUCCUGAAGCAAAGUUCUUAACCUGAGGUACUAUUUCUGGGUUAGCGGAGUCCGUAACCUGAAGCGUAUGUAACCCGAGGUACCACUGUACAUGGCCUCCCCUAAAGAACCCUGGAAAGUGCAGUUAACCCCUCACAGCGCUAUAAUUCCCAUCACUCUUAACAAAUAACAGAUCCCAGGAUUUUUUGAGGGAAAGCAUGACUGAUUUGGGGCACAUGCAUGAUGAUGAUGAUGAUUGGUUCAGGCAACAAAACACCCUGGGCUGGCUGUGCUUUGUCUUAUUUGGACUUCUGCAAUCACCUUCUGAGUCCUCACUUCACAGCCAUGGGCAGGCCAAAGUUUUCCCUCUUGGAAUAGCUGCCCCUCUUCUCACCCAGCCCCACACGAUAAAUUUCCCCUCCCCCCUUGAAUCAGCCUGCAUGCUGAGCUUUCUGUUACCUGACCCCGUUUCCCAUCCCUUUCUUCUCCUCUUCUCACAGGCCUAUCAAUCUAUGCAAAUGACUUUCCUUCAACGUGAAUCUUGAGAGCAAAUCCUUUUUAAGACGUCUUGGAAAUGGAGGCUUGAAAAUGCUUUGGCGAUACUUUCAGAUGGCUGAUUUGCAUAUUCAUAAGCCAAGCAGAUUACUCUGGCUGGAGCACUAACAUCCGUUUAAUGCAGAUCUCAGGCUAGAGAGUCCCUGAUAAAUAAAUCACCUGCUUGCAUAUAGGACAGCUUUAUUCACACACACCCCUUCCCUAUAUUUGACGCAGCGCCUUUUCCCACACCAGCUGUCCCAGUCUCUGCAGUUGGGUUGUGGGGUGCAAAGAGGCUCUUUUUAUUUUAUUAUUUUUAUUUUUUUUUAAAAUAAUAUUUGUUACUUUUCCAAAAAAAUUAAACACUGAAAACAACAACAACAAACAAUACAAUACAAUACAUUAAACUAGCAAAACAAAACAAAAACAAUAAAAUAAAUCAAACAAUUUCAUUAUCCCAUCUUUCAUUCACUUAUUUCCACGACCUCCUCACACCUCCCUUUUUGUCUUCCACUUCUGUUAAUUAUUUCAGCAAUUCCUUUCCAUCUUCCUCUGUUUUCUAUCCCAUAAUUAUCUUAACUCAUUCUAACCUUAUUUUUCCCUUUGAUACUCUAUUAAUCUAUUUAUAUUUAAUUCCUUAUAACAUUUCUACGAAAGCCAUGUAGCUUCAUUCCAACAUUUUUCUAACAUUCAUUAAUUUUACAGUAUUUCUGUAAAUAAUCUUUAAUUUUUUUCCAAUUUUCUUCCACCAACUCUUCUCCCUGGUCUCGGAUUCUGCCAGUCAUUUCUGCCAAUUCCAUAUAGUCCAUCAACUUCAUCUGCCAUUCUUCCCAGUUGGGUAAAUCUUGUGUCUUCCAAUAUUUUGCAAUGAGUAUCCUUGCUGCUGUUGUUGCAUACAUAAAGAAAGUUCUAUCCUUCUUUAACACUUUUUAUUACUUCACCAGUGGGAUUGGCCCACUGAGAGGUGCCAUGAGAGAGGGUCUUCUCUGUUGUGAUCCCCUAACUGUGAAUGUCCUUCCGCUGGAAGUACAGAUGGUGGAAACACUGAUCAGAUUCUACCAUCAAGUAAAAGCAAUCUCAUUUGGAGUAAAUAAUAAUAAUCACUCAUUGUUUUUGAUACAACUAUUUUGCUUUAAUGCCUGCUUUAAUUUUAUUGCAGACCCUCCAAGUGUCCCUAUUUUCCAGGGACAGUCCCGGAUUUACAAAAGCCGUCUCAGUUUCUGAUGUGAUCCUGGGUUGUCCCGCUUUUUCUUAGGAUGUCCCUAUUGUCAUCAGAAAAAUAUUAGUAUGGUAGGACGUCCCUAUUUUCAUCAGAGAAAUGUUGGAGGAUGUGGAAUAGGACAUUCCUAUUUUCAUCAGAGAAAUGUUGGAGGAUAUGGAGUAGAACAUCCCUAUUUUCAUCGGAGAAAUGUUGGAGGAUGUGAAGUAGCUCCCUAUGCUUUGGCAGCUGGGAAGAUUAGGGCAAAAGAACUAGAUAAACUAGUGGUCAACUGCAAUGGGGAUUCAAAGAUUUAAUUUGUACAUUUUAUAUCAGAACUACCUUUUAUUCUACGUAACAAAUAAUUUUAGUAGUUUGGCUGUGGUUUUACUGUGUGUUUAGUGACUGUUGAUGUUUUGGAUGAUAUGGCCUUUGGCUAGGGCAAUGAAAGUUUACAAUGAUGUAAUUUUAUUAUAUGUUUUGUGCUUGGGAUAUGUCUGGAAACUGCCCUGGGAUCACUUUCAAGGGGACCCAUUAGCAAUAAAAAGGUACACACACACACACACACACACACACACACACACACACAUAUAUAUAUAUACCUUUUAAGGUCCUGAACUGAGCUCAGAAUGAAGAAAGAAAAGUUUGCAGCAUGCAAGGGACGAAUCAGCAGUGCGAUGGAUGCCUCAAAAAUGUAACCCUCCUAGACGUUGAUUUAUUUGGGGUAAAGGGACAAAAGAACACAGAUGUAUAUACAUGCUGCUUUUCUAUAUUUUAAAAAGCAACAUAGCACCUAAAGCAGGAAGCAAAGGCAAAACCCAGGACAGGCACAGUACAUGUUCGAUGUGCAAGGCAAAAUGUGAAGCCGUGCGUGCAGGUGAAGAAUGUGCCGUCGCUGCUGCUAAGGAGGUCUUUUAUCGUCUCGGGCUUUGCGCCUCUGAAAAUGUGCCCUUAGCGCCAUUUCAUAAACGCGAAGGAAAUUAAUAGGCAGCUUAUUUGCAGAAAGGGAAACUGGAAUAAUCCCAUCGACAAUAAGGCUAACGGCUGCCGUGAAGGGAACAUCAUCCUUUGAAGAGGAUAGAGGUGGGGUCAAAACUGGGCAAAGUUAGGCAUCUGUUGAGGGCUCACAUCUCAGCAGGGUGCUUCAUGAAAAGAACUCCCUGGACCCGCUGCACCGAGGAGGCCGAUUCAAUUCCCUUAGGGCCCUCCAAAACCUAGUGUUGACAUUGAGAGAGAGAAAAAUCUUCUCAUGCAGAAUAUUUAUUAGUCAGUCUGGCUUUUGCAAGUACAGUAGGCAUAUGCUUAGCAGAUGGAGACAUGGUGACCUUUCACUGUUUACCUGGAAGACAGAUUUCUUUCUCUUUUUUUCUACAGGAACCUUGGUGCCACACGCCUACAGAAAUAGUUGCACAGGUGCUGGAAAUAUAUAUUUUUUAAAAAUCAAAACUUUGGCAUCCGAGAAUUCAUUUCUGCAGGAACACAAAGAGCACACAGCUAUACAAGAAUGCAAGAAGACAGCAUGGUGCAGUGGUUAGAGUUUUCGACUAUGACCUGGGAGACAGGGGUCUCAAUCCCCACUCAGCCAUGAUGCUUACUGUGUGAGCUCCUCAGUUGUUCGGAGGAUAAAAUGGGCCAGGGGAGAACCCUGCAUGCCACCUUGAAUGCCAUUGAGGAAAGGUGGGGGAUAAAUGUGAUAAUGAAGAAAUGUACUGAAAAAACAAAGCUACUCUCACAUGAUGAGCCAUUGAGUAUAUCUUAAAACUAUUUGUGCAAUACAGUACAUGAAUGGUGUUCCUACACUAUAGGAAGUGGGGGGGGGGGCCUUGAAAUCCAGUGUACAUUUUGUCCAAGGCAGGUUUUAUGUUCACUGAAAACCAACUGAAACCAAAACAAAUUCCAGCCUUUUGUGCAAAGUCGAUCCUGUUCAGGUGCAUGAUUCUUCCAGGCAGUGUUUUCCAAGAUGCAAGCAUGUGAUUCGUGCAAGGCUGUAAAUAUUGGUGUGUGUGGAGACAAAUGUUUCAUAUUGAGUCUAGACGUGGCUCAGAGUUGAGAUAUACCAUAACUAUAGUCCAGCAACUGCCCUCAUGCACAUCUAAUAGCACCAAAACAAAAACAAAACUGAAGCAAUAAAAAUGAUUUCCUUAAAGGGUGAGGGGUUUUUUUGGGGGGGGGCGUGUUUUGCAAAUCAUAUAUUAGGAAAAGGGUGUCUGUUUCUACUCUCUCUAUCGCCCAUCCCAAACUUUAGAGAUGGUGAAAACUCAUGCCCAAACUACAUGUUGCAAACAAAUGCACAUAGCAGUAGCCCAGCGGCCUCCUUAAAUGAGAAGAAGAGGUUCCCUGAGCAACUAUGAAGCUGACAGAGCAAAUGUUGCCAUCACAAUGCCUCCCUUUGUUCAAAGUUAGCUGUACAAUAUAGACCACAGCAGCUGCAUUGGCCUGACAGGAUAAGAAUAUGGGCAAAGAGAAGAUAACUGUGUUUGGCAAAGGAUUUGGAAAGUUAGAAAAAGGGCAUUUAGCCAAGUAGACUCCUUUAACAGAUUUAGAUGUUUAGAAGAGCUAUAUUUUUAAACAACAACAACAACAACAUGGGGUUAUUCAAAAAGUGGGUCAUACACUGUGUGGGAGAUUAAGAAUCAAAGCCAUUGACUGUAUAGCAUUCCCCCCCCUUUGAAUAGUAUAUUUUCAGUAACAAUUAUGAAUAAACGUUAAGGUUACAGAGGCAUGGAAGUUGAUGUCAACCAGCCAGAAGGAACAAUAGAUUAAUCUUUUGGUUAGAUAAUUUUUUAUUAUUAUUAGAGAAUCAAGGUACAGACAGUGAAGCAGAAUAUGUAAACACACAUUUAAACGCAUCACUUCUUCCAAACAAUCCUGGGACCUGUCCUUCCUUGCCCCCCUCACAGAUCUGCAAUUGCCAACAUCCUUCAGAAACUACAGUUUCCAGCAUCUUUUGGGGGGUGGGGGGAAACAGGUGCAUUGGACGUGCUAGAAAGGUAUUUGAUUGCAAAAGCAAUAAAAAAUUGUGUCACUCCUUCAAAGUGUACCGAAGCACAAAUUGAUGUGGACUGCAGGAGUCCAUUUUAUCACUUCAUAAAACUUUACAGAUCUGAUGAAAUGAAUUCUAGCCUACAGAGGCUGUGCCAUAAUAAACUGGUUAGACUUUAAAUAUACUUUUGGCCAUUCUUAACUCCUCUUCCUCUCCCCCUUUACUUUGUCUCCCUUCUCCAUCUCCUGUCCUUUUGUUCCCUAAUGCAGAGCUUUUCAACCUUUUUGAGCCCACAGCUGCCUUGACCAACUAGAUUCUUUCUGCGGCAUCCCUGUUGGGCUCAGGAGCCCAGUUAUGUCACCCCUUGCCUGCAGAGCCGGUAGCCUCUCACCCUUUUUCUUUUUCAAAAAAAUGUUUUUAUUAACCAUUUCAACAUAACAAAUUAUCAAAACAUAUUCAUUAUUUUCCUCCCUUCCCCCCUUCAAACCCUCCCCCCCGAGACUUCCCUUAGCUCCUCUCUCUGAUAUUAUUAUUGGAAUAUUAUUAUUAUUAUUAUUAUUAUUAUUAUUAUCAUCAUCAUCAUCAUCUCUCACAUAUUAUUCUCUGCAUGUUAUAAAAUUAUACAUAUCCUUACAUUAUCUAACUACCAUGCUAUCAAGUAAUAAAUUUGUGUAUGUUUAUUCAAAACCUGCCAAGGAGUCCAAUUCAUUUUGUUGUCUUUUUAGAUAAAUUGUAAAAAGCUCCCGUUCUUCCUUGAAGUCACAGUUGUUCUUGUCCCGCAAUUUGUAUGUCAAUUUAGCCAGCUCUGCGUAGCUCAUCAAUUUUUCUUGCCACUGUUCUUUCAUUGGGAUUUCCUCAUUCUCCCAUCCUUGUGCUAUCAAGACUCUUGCCGCUGUUAUAGCCUCUCACCCUUUUUUGAACACCCUCCCUUCUGGAGUGUUCCCUCAGCCUCCUCCCCUCUCCUUGGGAGUCCUACAGGCAGCCAUGGCUGCUGCCCCUGGUCUCUGAGCUCUCCCCACUGCCCCGAAGAGAGAUGCCUCCUCACGCUGUCCCACAGGGGCCUGGGAAGAGGAUGCUCCCAGCCUUAGUGGCCCAACAGAGACUGGCCAAAGGUGAAUGUGAGGCCAGUACCUUACCUUGGGAGGCAGCAAUGGCAGCAGCGGGGGUUGCCAGGCCUGCAAGGCGGGAAGGCUCCCCUUCAGUACCUGCUCCCAGGCAGGCCUUGCAGACAGCAAGCACAAGAAAGGUCAGCGCAACACCUGUCUGCCUACCUGCCAGCCUGCCUGGCCUCCCUCACCCACUUUCUUGCUUACUCCGAGGAUGCCUCAGCUCCUGGCAACCAACCCCCUCUGGCCAGCCCCAGAGGCACAAUUUGCCUGCGGAGCUUGUAGCCAGGGUUGCUGCAACAAACAGUUGUGCAAGCCUUUGGGAGGUGGAGAUGUGAAUGGGCAUCAGAGGAGGGAGGAAAGGAAAGCGAGGCCAGAGGCCAGUGUUGCUUGUGACACUUCUGUCCAUCCUUCAAGGCCCCCUCAGGGUGCCACGGCACACUGGUCGAAAACCACUGGACUAAUGAUUCCUGUUACUUAAAGUAAGCUUCCAAUGUUAAUUCUAUAAUUUAUAUUCAGCCAUAUCUAUCUACCGUAUCUAUCUAUCAUCUAUCUAUAUCUAUCUAUCUAUCUAUCUAUCUAUCAUCUAUCUAUCUAUCUAUCUAUCUAUCUAUCUAUCUAUCUAUCUAUCUAUCUAUCUAUCUAUCUAUCAUCUAUCUAUCUAUCUAUCUAUCUAUCUAUCUAUAUCUAUCUAUCUAUCAUCUAUCUAUCUAUCUAUCAUCUAUCUAUCUAUCUAUCUAUCUAUCUAUCUAUCUAUCAUCUAUCUAUCUAUCAUCUAUCUAUCUAUUUGUUGAAGAACAGUAUUGUGCCUAACAAAAAAAAAAUCCUUCCAGUAGCACCUUAAAGGUAAAGGGACCCCUGACCAUUAGGUCUAGUCAUGACCAACUCUGGGGUUGCGGCGCUCAUCUCGCUUUAUUGGCCGAGGGAGCCAGCGUACAGCUUCCGGGUCAUGUGACCAGCAUGACUAAGCUGCUUCUGGCGAACCAGAGCAGCGCACGGAAAUGCUGUUUACCUUCCUGCCGGAGCGGUACCUAUUUAUCUACUUGCACUUUGACGUGCUUUCGAACUGCUAGGUUGGCAGGAGCAGGGACCGAGCAACGGGAGCUCACCCCAUCACGGGGAUUCAAACCGCCGACCUUCUGAUCAGCAAGUCCUAGGCUUUAACCCACAGCACCACCUGCAUCCCCCAGUAGUACCUUAGAGACCAGCUAAGUUAGUUAUUGGUAUGAGCUUUCGUGUGCAUGCACACUUCUUCAGUAUUGUGCCUGUUCAUCAUUUUCUUAACACUUUUCUGUCCUGGAAAGGUUUGUCUCUCUUACACUUGAAAGGAACUUCAAAUGUAAAUUGGAAUGGAAUGAAGUAACCUUGGAACCCCAACCUUAAAGUAAUCCAAUGCCCUAAGUUACUAAGUCCUUGUUAAACGAAAUUUGAAAGGCAAAUGAAAGCACGGUCUCUGGGGCUUCCAUUACAUUCUGCAUUUGCUCUCAAACACCAGCAAUCAUUUUACUGUGGUGCAAUUGAGACAUCCUUAAUAAUGAGUUGUUUAAGGAAAGCAUGAAUAACAACAGCAGCACCGUUGGCACAAGGGAUGGCCUUUGCUCUGCUUCUUUAGAAUAAUCCUCCAGGCGCAAGCUUCAAAUACAUGAACACUGUGAUUUCCCCCUUUUCAUGCUUAUCACAGUGCUGCCUUUUACUGUCUUCUUAUAAGUACCCAUCCCCUUGCUUCUAUCUACUGAAGAUAAAAUCCUGCAUAUUCCCUCAGUUAUAGAGACCAGUCCAAUUUGCAUAUAUUAAUAUCACCUUAAGAACAUAAGAAGAGUCCUGCUGUGGUCAAGCCAAGGGCCCAUCAUGUCUGACAUCAUGUUCUCAGAGUUGCCAAUCAGAGGGACAGCCUGGAUAGCUCAGCUGGUUACAGUGUGGUGCUGAUAAUGCCAAGGUUGCAGGUUUGAUCCCCAUAUGGAACACCUGCAUAUUCCUGCAUUGCUGGGGAUUGGAUUAGAUGAUCCUCAGGGUCUCUUCCAGCUCUACAAAUCUACGAUUCUAUGCCCGUAGGAAGCCAAGACACGAAUACAAGAGCAAUCACCCCUGUUGCAAUUCCCAGCAACAGGCAUUCAGAGGCUGCCUCCAACAAUUAAACUCUGAUUGGAUUUAGAAUCUUGAAACAUGUAAGACCGGUCUUACAUCUUCAGUACUUAUCUCUUUGGUAAAAGUCGUCCUGUUUAUUAGUCGACAUUGGAUCGUAUAAUUAGACCAUGGAAAGUCUAAUUGUGACAAAAAAAAAUGGGCAAGUGCAGGUAACAAUUAUCCAAGGGGCAAUUUACCAAAAUAGCUAUCUGGUAUGCACAAGUGCUACUGAGCUUAAUGGGGCCUACCCUCAGGCAAGUGAGCAUAGGAUUGCAGCCUCACAUUGUACUAAGUUUAAUGAGACACUAGGUUCAGCCCACUGGAGUUGUGCUUCCUGAGAGGAACUGAGAACUAGUUAAGGGCGACACUCACUUCCUCUGGUCCAAGGAAAGAGGCCACAGACUGAGAAAGCUCUGGGAAACCUUCAUCUGCUUAUGGUUGUGCUUUGGCUCCUCAUCUGUGAAUACAGCUCUUAAAUCCAGUUGUUUGACAGAGUCAGUUUAAGGCACCAUGAUUCCACUCAUUGCUUCCCCCAAGGAAUUCUGGGAGCUGGAGCUUGUUAAAGGUGCUGAGAAUUGUGACAGACCCUCCAAGUGUCCCUAUUUUCCAAGGACAUUCCCAAUUUACAGAAGCCGUCUGGUUUCUGGUUUGACCCCAGAAUGUCCCGCUGUUCCUUAGGAUGUCCCUGUUUUCAUCAGAGAAAUGUUAGAAGGUAUGGUAGGAUGUCUCUACUUUCAUCAGAGAAAUGUUGGAGGGUAUGGAGUUAUCCGACCCCUGAGCCAUCUGAAGACAGCCCUGUAUAGGGAAGGGUUGGGUUUUUUUUAAUGUUUAAUGUUUCAUUAUGUUUUAUAUGCAUUGGAAGCCACCCCAAGUGUUAACCUAGUCCGGUGGGUGGGGUAUAAAUAGUAAAGUUCCUGUUGUUGUUGUUAUGGAAUAGGAUUUUCCCUAUUUUCAUCAGAGAAAUGUUGGAGGUUAUGUUGGGAGGACGUCCUAUUCCCUUUCACAGAGCUGCAAGUCUUAGAGUUCCUUGUGAAGAGGUAUUGAUGGUUAAACCACUCGGAAAACUGUAGCUCUGUCAGGGGACGAUGGGGUCUCCUCACAACUCUCAGCACCCUUUACAAACCACAUCUCCCAGAAUUCUUUGGGGGAAGCCAUGGCCAUUUAAAGUGGUUUCACAGUGCUUCAAAUGUAGGGUAUGAAUGUGGCUACAGUUUGCACACUGAUUGGCUCUUUCACAAAUCUACACCACAGACCCAUAAGGGUUGGAAGAGGGGUCACCAGGAGCAUAUUCUUUGGACACUCAUAUAUGGUCCUUCCCACUGAAUUCUGAGAUGGUAAACCUUUCUGAAUAUGGCUCUAAUUGGGUGUAUAAAUAUAUUUCUUCAAUUCAUCUGCUCUUCAUUGGAGCAGCAAGAAGCAACUCAGCUUUUGACAGGAAAGGAGUUGUUUAAAUGGAUAGUUCAAUUCUACGAAUUGUGGCCUGAAUCGAAAUAACUGGAUUUCCCCCAACUCCCACUACAGGCAUUAAAAUUAGACAGGACGUUGCUUUAUCAUCAACUCUGCUUUAUGAAUGUUUACUGUAAUCAUUUUAAAUGCAUUUCAGCCUUAAUACAAUGACCAAAGUCUGUCUUUAAUGCAUUUCCUUUUGCUCUCUAGGGUUGCCAUAUUUUGAAGAGCAAAAAAAAGAGGACGCUAUGAUGACUCUCUUUUUAAGUACCCCUAUUAUAUAUCGGCUAUAGAAGCUGUGAUAUAUUGUGGGGAUGGGGAGAAGAGAAGAGGAAAGCAUGUCUUCAGCCGCCAGUUAUGUCUACGUCUCAUCCAGAAAGUAUAGCCAGAGACAUUUUGGCAAAUUUAAGAUAUCUAGCCGGACAGAAAUUUUACCCCUGAAAAUGAGGACGUGUCCUGGAAAAAGAGGAUACGUGGCAACCCUACUGCCAUUUUCCUCCUUCUACAGACACCUCCCAGCACAGGAUUUCAGAGCAGUUGUUGUCAUCCAUCUGUCUCAGCAGACAAUGGAAGAGUGCGCCUUUGGUGGUGAAGUCAAACCACCGAAGACAUGUUUUGUUGCAGCUGGGGCAGAUGAAGGCGUCCGGUUGUGCUGCUGCUGCUGCUGCACCAUGAUGUUUUUCUCUCUAAGCUCCUCCCAUGGUCAUUUCUCCUCUGGACACUGCUAUGAGUGCAUGACUUGACUGCAGUCUCCACGCACUGCAGUCAUCUGCAAGGCAGUUUUGUUGUCACCAGCCUUCAUGUCUCGUUUGCAGACAUCUUUGUAAGGCAGAGUUGGUCUGCCAAUGGGCUUGGUGCCAGGAUCCUGCCACUUUCCAUUCUGUGGACAUGGCCAAGGCAGUGUAGACGUCACUGGGACAGAAAUGAGGACAUGCUGGGAAUGAGGGCUUGGGAGAGCAUAUCCUGUAUCAGAUGAACCUGAUUCCAGUGCAUGAAAAUGUGCCAUAAUAAAAUUGCUAUAAGGCAGCAGCAAGGCUCUUGGUUGCUUGUGCUGCAACAGACUAACAUAGCUUCCCCUCUGGAAAUCAAAUAACCAUACAGUGGUACCGCGGGUUACGUACUUAAUUCGUUCCGGAGGUCCGUUCUUAACCUGAAACUGUUCUUAACCUGAAGUACCACUUUAGCUAAUGGGGCCUCCUGCUGCCGCCGUGCCGCCGGAGCACGAUUUCUGUUCUCAUCCUGAAGCAAAGUUCUUAACCCGAGGUACUAUUUCUGGGUUAACAGAGUCUGUAACCUGAAGCGUAUGUAACUUGAAGUGUAUGUAACCCGAGGUACCACUGUACAAGCCAGAAAUCAGGGGCUGCAUUUUCUCUUCCAUAAAUUUCAAAAGAAAGAAAAUUGUUAACAGUCAAAAUGGACAACCCCAACACAACCUUACAGACAAGGACACAAAGUACUCUAACAUUGUUUUAUUCUUUCUUUCUGCCUUCCAUCUGCCAUUUAAGCCAUCAUAAAGUUUGACUUAAGUAAUACAUGUGCUUGUUGUUCUCCACAAUAUUAGCACAGACUUUUCAUCCCCUCUAUGGAAGGUUUGGUAAAAUCCCAGCUGUUGCUGUUUAUUCAAGCCAAAGAUCAGAAAGAAAAGAUUUAGGGAAAGUGGAUUUGCAGAAAAGAGAAGUGCCUUUACAUUGGGGAACACAGCUAUAUUCCUAAGUGUUCCUUUUCUUUGUUUGUUUUGCUAAGCAGAGAUGAGUCAUUCAUUGUAGCCAAAUAACCUUUAAGUUGGCAAAUUUUGCUUCUUUUAAGUUAGCUUUCUUAACGCAGGCUUUUCAUCCGAGGACUGUUGGAAGCUGUGCAAAUUGUUGGAACCCAUCCUGUGACUUGCUGCUGAAAGGCAGGUACCUUAAUAAUAACAGUAAGAGUAAUAAUGGCACUUCACCACGCUCUCCAGAAACAAGUAGUUGAGCAAGGCACGUUAUCCAGCCUGCGAAAUGUUCCUUUUUUUCCUUACCACUUGCACCGUCAUGGCUUGCCCCAGAGAAUCCUCGUUUUUGUGGUUUGGCAAAGUGCUAAGACUUCUCUAGAAAAGAGACUUAGUCCCUCCUCACCAACUAUAAUCUCACGGUUCCUAAAGGGGAAGGAGUGACUGUUAAAACUCGCAUAAGUCUGUGGUGCAGACACGUACCAGAGCCCUUGAGGCCUUGUUUAAUGCAUCUCAACUAGCGUUACCCAGCCUGUUACAACAGGCUUUGGGGUAUUUGGCUAAGGGUUUCUAUGAAAGGAAGGAAAAGACAGUAAAUCUCUGCGAUUUAGGUGAUCUCCAGGUUGCAAAAUGAUUUGCGGGCGCUGCACCUGAACCCCCAUCAAGAAAAUGCCUGUCUAUAGACCCUGCCUUCCCGGAUCUUGCAAAGCCAGCCUCGUUCCUAUUGGCAUGCAAUUAGCAGCUGGAGGAGAGCAUUAUGGAUUUAUCAACUUGGACCAUCUGCUGUUUUGGAACAUUGCCUGCUUCUUCCAGACGUGUUUGUCUUUGGGCUUGCCCCCUGAACAGUCACUCCUGGGUCUUUGAGGAUAUUAAGUGUUCUUUCCUUUUCUUCUGUGUGUCAAAACAAUAACAUUCCAGAGGAAAUGUCAGCAUGACCAAAUUAUUCAAACUGAUUUGUUUUGCAGGUGAGUCUUUGUCUUCUUUUAAAAAAUGAAAAAAAAAUAAAACAAAAACAAAAGCCAGAUACUGUAUUCAUUCAGGGUGGGCAGGCGGUAAAGGGACAUAUAGUUGCAAUCAAAAUUAUUCAGCCCCCAUUGCAAAUCAGGUUUAUUGUCAGCAUUUACAGGCUUUUGGCUGUUUGCAAUGAGCAAAUCAAACAAAAGCAACAGGAAUAGCUCAACACAAUGGAUGCUUCAAAUGGUUUCCCCCAAAUUCAGCUGAAAUUGCAACUUAUACUGCAACUUAUAUACUGCAUAUGAAAAUGAGCCGUUAUUACCAGUGUGUUGAAUAACUGCUGCCAGUCAGUGCUGGGUGGAGCCAUGAUCUGACUCAGUAUAAAGCAGCUUCCUAUGUCCAUAUGUACAAAAUUAAAAUAUUCCGCACCUUUUCCAAAGUUACACACAGGCAGCCCUUUAUUUUUUUGGGAAAAUUAUUCAUCGCUUUAUAGUCAAAUGAGUUUAAAAGUGAUGUGCAAAAUAGAAAUCAAAUACAGGAUCAUAUGUUAAUAAUAAAACAGAAACCUAUCAACAAAGGUUUGGGCUGGGUGUUCAUCAGUAUGCAGAUGAUACCCAGCUCUACCUCUCUCCUCAAUCGGAACCAGUGAGGGCAGUGAAGGUCCUGUGGGAGUGUCUGGAGGCAGUUGGAGGAUGGAUGGCAGCUAACAGAUUGAGGUUGAAUCCUGACAAGACAGAAGUACUGUUUUGGGGGGACAGGCAGGUGUGGAAGACUCCCUGGUCCUGAAUGGGGUAACUGUGCCCCUGAAGGACCAGGUGCGCAGCCUGGGAGUCAUUCUGGACUCACAGCUGUCCAUGGAGGCACAGGUCAAUUCUGUGUCCAGGGCAGCUGUCUACCAGCUCCACCUGAUACGCAGGCUGAGACCCUACGUGCCCGCGGACUGUCUCACCAGAGUGGUGCAUGCUCUAGUUAUCUCCCACUUGGACUACUGCAAUGUGCUCUACAUGGGGCUACCUUUGAAGGUGACUCGGAAACUGCAAUUAAUCCAGAAUGCGGCAGCUAGACUAGUGACUGGGAGUGGCCGCCGGGACCACAUAACAACGGUCCUGAGAGACCUGCAUUGGCUUCCAGUACGUUUCUGAGCACAAUUCAAAGUGUUGGUGCUGACCUUUAAAGCCCUAAAUGACCUCAGUCCUGAAUACUUAAAGGAGUAUCUCCACCCCAUCAUUCAGCCUGGACACUGAGAUCCAGGGCCGAGGGCCUUCUGGCGGUUCCCUCACUGUGAGAAGUGAGGUUACGGGGAACCAGGCAGAGGGCCUUCUCGGUAGUACAGGGAAGUUUUAUUAAUGCUUACUGUUUCGUCAUGUUUUUAUAUGUGGUGGAAGCUGCCCAGAGUGCUGGGGCAACCCAGUAAGAUGUGUGGGGUAUAAAUAGUAAAAUUAUAAUUAUGAAAUAAAAGGUAAAGAGACCCCUGACUGUUCAGUCUAGUCAUGACUGACUCUGGGGUUGUGGCGCUCAUCUCUCUUUACUGCUGAGGGAGCCAGCGUACAGCUUCCGGGUCAUGUGGCCAGCAUGACUAAGCUGCUUCUGGUGAACCAGAGCAGCGCACGGAAACACCGUUUACCUUCCCACUGGAGCGGUACCUAUUUAUCUACUUGCACUUUGACGUCCUUUUGAACUGCUAGGUUGGCAGGAGCUGGGACCGAGCAAUGGGAGCUCACCCCGUCGUGGGGAUUCAAACUGCUGACUUUCUGAUCAGCAAGCCCUAGGCUCUGUGGUGUAGACCACAGCGCCACCAGCGUCCCUGGAAUAGGAUGACCCUAUUUCCAUCAGAUAAAUGUUGGAGGGUAUGUUAUACAGUGCCAUCCUUUAUACAGCUACUUGGAAGCAAGUCCCAUUAAGUUCAAUGGGGCUCACUCCCAGAGAGGUGGCUAUAUGUUUACAAUCUUUGAGAGUGAAGUACAAGGGCUGCUCUCACCUUGCAAAAAUCUGAAGCCCUGAUUCAGUGUUCAAGUGCACAUCUGGCAUAGUCUCCCACGCAUCUGUGCCAUCUCAGAAUGGAAAGUCGUGUGCACAGCCAAGUCAACGCUUCCCAGCCCAUGAAUCCCUGACUGAACACGAGAAAAUGUGUUUUUCUCCCUGGUAUUUAAAAUGUUGGAACAGAGGGCUGUGCUCAUUAUGCAUUCAGCACUGACAGUCUGUUUGUCAAAGAACGCUUUUAAGAGAGAGGAAGAAGUGUGUAGAAAUAAUCCUUCUAUAGGAUUUCCUUUAUUUCCGCCUCCUCCAAAAGCUGCUUUCGACAAUGAACCUCUUGAGAAUUUCAACUAUCUCUGGCAUGCAAGGAAAGCAACCCCGACUCCAAUUAACGUGAGGUCUGGAAAAGUCGGAAUGGAAGCUUAGAAGCCUUGACCCCGCCAAAGAAUAAGCAAACAUUCUGCACAGUUUUGGUCUUGAUGGACGAGGGGUUCCCCAACAGAUAGCCCUGAUGAGAUCAUUUGCUUGUUUAAGCACCCCCUCCCCAAGCCCCCUGGCUAGAUUUUGAGAAACGGGAGUAAAGCACACCGAAAAUUAUCCUGCAUGAGUCAUUGUCGCUAGAGAUGAAUGUGGGGGGUUCCUUCCUGUGUUUGAGAAAGGAAACCAGACAUGUCAUCAUCACUGAUUUGGACAGCUCGGAACAGAGUGACAUGAACUAAAUAGAGCCUGCUGAUGUAAUUUCGGGAGCCGCCAUCGUGCACUUUGUCAGCUGUGAGGUUCAGCUAAGCAGAAAGCUCAAGCCCAGCAGCUAUAAUUGCUUCCUUACACUUCAGCACACAAACAGAAUCACAAAAUCGCAGCUCUCAACAACACAUUUCCAGCAAACAACGUGGCUUCUGAAAUGCAGUUGUUUUUUUUAAAAAAAAACUUUUAAAUUUUCAAUUAUACAUUUCCCACCAUUAAAUAUCCACCAUUAUUAUUAUAUAUUCAUCAAAUUCCCUUCUUCCCCUUCCGUGGUUCUUUUAGUUUUCCCAUUGUUUCUGCAUAUUCUGUUACAACCAUUUAAUUUCCCCCUUUUUAUAUUUCCUCAUUUUACUUUAUAUUGUUAUAACUGCUAGUGUUUUCACUUGUUUACAAUUAUUUUCCAAAUAUUGCACUCCUCUUUUUAAGCUCAAACUUCUUGCUCUCUUAUUCUGCUGGUUAGGCCUGCUAACUCUGCAUAUUCUAUCAUUUUAAGUCGCCAUUCCUCCUUCUUAGGGACCUCUCCCACUUUCCAUUUUUGGGCUAACAAAAUCCAAGCUGCUGUAGUUGCAUACAUAAAUCAUUUUUUUCUGAAAUGCAGAAGUUUAAAAAUCUCCCAAGGCAUUGUACACAUCACUUCAUGUUGUGAGCCUGAACAUUUCUCCUUAAGGGUUUUUAGCCAGUGCUCCUGAUUCUUCACUGGCGUGAAGUUGGUAUGAGAGCCAGUGUGGUGUAGUGGUUAAGAGCGGUAGUCUCGUAAUCUGGGGAACCGGGUUCGCGUCUCCGCUCCUCCACAUGCAGCUGCUGGGUGACCUUGGGCCAGUCAUACUUCUUUGAAGUCUCUCAGCCCCACUCACCUCACAGGGUGUUUGUUGUGGGGGAGGAAGGGAAAGGAGAAUGUGUUGGACAAUGGCAGACGAAGUUAAUGGACUAUUGGUGGAAAUGACUGGCAAGAUCCAAGACCAGGGUGAAGAGUCGGUGGAAGAAGAUUGGAAAAAGUUUAAAGACUAUUUAUAGAAAUAUUUUAAAAUUAAGGAAUGUUAGAAAAAUGUUGGAAUGAAAUUACAUGGCUUUAGUAGAAAUGUCAUAAGGAAUUAAGUAUAAAUAGAUUAAUAGAAAAUUAAAGGAAAAGUAUGGCAAGAAUGUGUUUAAAUAAUUAUAGAACAGAAAACAGAGUAAGAUGGAAAGGAAUUGCUGAAACAAAUAAUAGAAGUGGAAUACAAAAAGGGAGGUGUGAGGAAGUCGCUGGAAAUAAGUGAAUGAAAUAUAAGAUAUUGAAUGAAAUUUGAUUUAUUUUAUUGUUGUUGCAUUGUUUUGUUAGUUUAAUGUAUUGUAUUGUAUGUGUUUUUUCUUUUCUUUUAGUGUUUAAAUUUUUUGGAAAAGUAAUAAAUAUUAUUUUUUUUUAAAAAAAAAAAGGAAGGGAAAGGAGAAUGUUAGCCGCUUUGAGACUCCUUAAAGGGAGUGAAAGGCGGGAUAUCAAAUCCAAACUCUUCUUCUUCUUCCUCUUCUUCUUCUUCUUCUUCUUCUUCUUCUUCUUCUCCUCCACUGCCCUAUUGAGACUUGACGGUUCACUGGUUGGCUUUAUACAAACUGGCAUUGUUCUCCCAUCCCUCCCCAUCCCUACUGCUUAGGGUCACCAGUUAAGAAGGGCAGAGGGAGAGGCAACCCCUUUUGCAUCUCUUGUGAUCAUUCAGCAAGUACACCCCUGCCUGUGAUCAAUUCACUAGGGGUGGAUCUACACACAGAGAAAAACAACACUAAAAAUAGGUCAGAAAUUAGAUCAUUAUAACAAAAGGUGGGGAGAAACCCUACGGAAAAUCACGCUUAAAUAUUUCCUGCUCUCUGGCACCACCUGGUGUUGCAUGUUUAUAGCACAUUCAAAUUGUUUCUCUACUAACGUAGCUGAGUCCUCAGUCUACACAGCGAGUGAAAAAUAGGCUACAUUUUUAAUCAGGGAGGAGUGCUAAGGGUAAAUCAAUGGGAAACAACAACCUAAAUAGAAGUAGUCAAAUACUAUCUUGUCAUAAGGACAUCUAGUUCAGUAUUUUGUUCUCACAGUGGCCAACCAGAUUUCUAUGGAAAGUCCCUAGAAGGACCUUAUCACCCAUGAAUUUGUCUAAACCCCUUUUCAUGCCAUCCAUGUUGGCAGCCAACACUGCCAUUGUCAUGACAAGAGAACAAGUGAGGCAUUCAUGGUGGGUUCCGGUUCCAACACAUCUUUUUCGAGAAAAAUAGCACUAGGGAUAACUGAUUUUUAUGUGUUCAUUGUAUUGUAUUGUAUUGUAUUGUAUUGUAUUGUAUUGUAUUGUAUUGCAUCGCAUUGACUGUGGGAUGUGGGUGGUGCUGUGGUCUAAACCACUGAGCCUCUUGGACUUGCCAAUUGGAAGGUCGGCAGUUUGAAUCCCCAUGACGGAAUGAGCUCCCGUUGCUCUGUCCCAGCUCCUGCCAACCCAGAAGUUCGAAAGCACACCAGUGCAAGUAGAUAAAUAAGUCCCACUGCAGUGGGAAGGCAAACGGCGUUUCCGUGCACUCUGGUUUUCAUCACAGUAUUCUGUUGCCCCAGAAGCGGUUUAGUCAUGCUGGCCACAUGAACCUGGAAAGCUGUCUGUGGACAAACGCCAGCUCCCUCGGCCUGAAAAGCAAGAUGAGCGCUGCAACCUCAUAGUCUCCUUCGAGAGGACUUAACCUUCCAGGGGUCCUUUACCUUUACCUAUUGUAUGAACUGUUGAUGUGUGGCUGGGUUUUUUGUUUUUGCUUUGUUUUUUACUGCUUCAACUGUAUUUUUUAUAUUCUGUAACCCACCCUGACACCUUCUGGCAAAGAAUACAAUUAUCAACCACCACCAUAGAACAACAACAGCACACCCUAUUUAAAUGUUUAUUCUUGGAAGGAGAAGGGAUGCUAGGAAGCCUUUUUCUUCCUGUGACAUUGGCUGGUGACGCUGGUGUGGUUUUACACACCAUGAUAAAUCUACUUGACAGACUGCAGAUCUCGAAAGCAUUUCAAGAACCAUGUAUUAAAAUCUAUUUUACCACAGUUGGAUCUUAAGAGUCAGAACCCCUGCAAUGCAGCAAAUGGAAAAGAUGAACAUGACUGAAUGAAUGUGAAACAGAAGAAAAUGCAUCCAGGUAUUUUAAAGAUCACUCCAGAUUUUUUUCCAAAAGAGAAUGAGAGGCAAGUGCCAUUGGGGCUGGGGAAAGAUACAAGGGUCCCUGUCCAAUAAUAAAACACUUUGGUAGGUAAAAGGUAAAAGACCCCUGGAUGGUUAAGAGCCAGUGUGGUGUAGUGGUUAAGAGUGAUAGACUCGUAAUCUGGUGAACCGGGUUUGCUUCCCCGCUCCUCCACAUGCAGCUGCUGGGUGACCUUGGGCUAGUCACGCUUCUCUGAAGUUUCUCAGCCUCACUCACCUCACAGAGUGUUUGUUGUGGGGGAGGAAGGGAAAGGAGAAUGUUUGAGACUCCUUUGGGUAGUGAUAAAGCGGGAUAUCAAAUCCAAACUCUUCUUCUUAAGUCCUGUCAAAGGCGACUAUGAGGCGACCAGAGCAGUGCACAGAAAUGCUGUUUACCUUCCCGCCGGAGCGGUACCUAUUUAUCUACUUGCACUUUGACGUGCUUUCGAACUGCUAGGUUGGCAGGAGCAGGGACCGAGCAAUGGGAGCUCACUCCAUCGCGGGGAUUCGAACCCCCAACCUUCUGAUCGGCAAGUCCUACGCUCUGUGGUUUAACCCACAGCGCUACCCACAUCCCUGAAUGCACAUUAGUACUCUUCCAUUUGCCUCCCACCCACCCCCUGGGCUCUGGCAACCCAUGCUACACCAAUGCCUCCUCCUCAGCUGUUCUGCAGGAAUCAGUCCCUCUUGUUUCCCUGCAAAACUCUGUAUUGCUUCCAUACAAUUGCUCCCUUCCCUCGGAGUUCCCACCUAAUUGACCUAUCUGAAUAUUUGCUCUGUCUGCAGGCUUCACUGCAAGGUAAACAGAUUAUUUGUUAAUUGAAGAGGAUAAACUUUCAUCUAUGCCUUGCUCUCUUCUUCUUCUAAACUGAGGGAAAAUAUCCUUAUUAUGGAUUAGAUGUUUCCUCUUGAAUGAAACUCAGUCCCAGUUUGAAGAUGGCUAAAUCAUUUAAUCUCUACUAAAAGGCCGUGUCUGGGAAUUUAGUAGUGAUUAACUGGUCCACAUUAGAUUUACCGUCCUAAUUAAAGUGGAUUAGGGCUACAAACUAUGCCCACAUCCUGGGAAGAAGCCUCACUGAACUCAGUGGAACUUCAUUCUGUACAGGUAUGCAUAGAUCAUACUGUUAGGUAUAUAUUUUGUAUUUUUGUGUAGUCAAGCCUGACUUACCUCUACAGAACAAAUCUCACUAGGUAGUUUCGGAACCCCCAACUGAUGUACUAGUUAUCAGAGAUUAUAGUGCAAAUAAGUAGACUGAAAUGUAGAGACCUUCAACCAGAGUUAGGUACAUAAAAUAAAAGCGUCUUAUCAGCAGAAGCACUGAGAACUUAAUCCAAUGGAAAAACCCACUGGAUUUUUCAGGAGGGAUCGACUUAGGCUUUCUAUAAAUAUUUAGCUGAUUUCUAUAAAAAUUAAUCUGAAAGCCUAUAGACUUUGGGGAUUUGAGUGUUGUUUCUUCUUCUAGAAUUCUGUGUCAAUAGAACACAUCAUUACUCAGAAGUUAUACAUGACUACCAAGGAAACUCUGAAGAGUUUUGCCAUUGGUACAUGCAUACAAAACAAAACAAAUAAAGCUCUCCAAAAGAUGCAUAACAGACAGGUCCAUAAAUAUUAAAGAGCACAGAAAUAUGGUAACAAUAAAAUGCAAAAAGUACAGCACAUCGUAAAUGUAUAUAGCAUCAGAUCUGACAUAUAAGUGCAAUUGAUAUUAAAUAUUUUAAUGUGAAAUGCCUGAGAAUUUAAUGUGAGGGUGGUUAAGUCAUUUCUGUGUCUCUUGCCACUUAGCCAACCAUAGCAUGCAAUACAUAUAAGCAUCAGACAGUGAAGGGAACACUUACCUGAGUCACCCAAAGCCCAAUAAGCUGACUUAUUGCUCUGCACUUUUGUUUCAGCCCAGGAGCCUUCAAUGAAGCAUAGCCAGACCUGUCCUCUUCUUCCUGUCUUUUAUUCUGGAGUGACUGAAUCCACAGGGCUUCUGUACUUUUCCAGAGAUACAUAUAACAGCAAAAUCUCCUGUCCUUCAGAAGUAGGAAAAGCAUCCUUUGCAAGAAUUCCUCCUCUGAUAUGAGACAAAUGCCAUAUCCGCUUUUGUACGUGGUAUAGAAAUAGCCUGUCUUGGUUGAGAAUAUCUCUCACACCCUCUCACACAUUUAACUGGAUGCCUGAGAGUUCAACCCUAAACACACUUACUUGGGUGUAAGCUCCACUCAGAGGCACCAGCUUGCAAGGGCGAUUGGGGGGGGGGGGCAAUGUCUCACAUGUGAUGCCACAUAUGACAUCAACGUCCCAGUACGUUUCCGAGCACAAUUCAAAGUGUUGGUGCUGACCUUUAAAGCCCUAAACGACCUCUGCCCAGUAUAUCUGAAGGAGCAUCUCCACCCCCACCAUUCAGCCCGGACACUGAGGUCCAGCUCUGAGAGCCUUCUGGCGGUUCCCUCGCUGUGAGAAGCAAGGUUAGAGGGAACCAGGCAGAGGGCCUUCUCGGUAGUGGCACCUGCCUUGUGGAAUGCCCUCCCAUCAGAUGUCAAGGAAAUAAACAGCUAUCUGACUUUUAGAAGACAUCUGAAGGCAGCCCUGUUUAGGGAAGUUUUAAAUGUUUGAUGUUUUACCGUGUUUUAAUAUUCUGUUGGGAGCCACCCAGAGUUGCUGUUGUUGUUGUUGUCCCAACAUCUCACCUCCUUCUGAUGCUUCGACCCUCAAUCACCUCCACAGCAGGGGGAGGAGGAGGAGGAAGGGGAGGAGAAGGAGCCAGCUCCAUGCUUUGCCUCCACGCUUUUUAAAAAUUGAGGGUGAGGCAGACCCUACCCCAAAAGUAUUUGGGGGACCCAAAAGGGCUCAGCCCUCAGGAACUGGCACCUCUGGCUGCACUGAACACAGUGAGGCUGACCUCUGAGUAAAAUUGUAGAGAGCUUCAUUAAUUUGUUUAUUUCAAAAUAUAUUGGGAAUGGCUUGCUAUUUACAACUUCUAAGCAGUAUGCAAGAAUGCAGCGUAAAAACAGGUGGACAUUGUGAACCCAGUAAAGCUGGUUGCGCUGCCAGUCAGUGAAAUAAAUGGGCUGCAUCCACAUGGCCAUUUAUUCCAUUUUUAUGUCUGUUCUGUAAAUAGAAAGCUCUAUAUUAUAUUUGCGCUUUGACACGACACGAAAGCUACUUCUAGAACUAUAGUGGAAUUAUAGUGCAAGCUUAGUGCUCACUUCUGUGUUGUUUGCUUCCAGGAGGGAAAAAAAAAUCCGUUGGCAAAUAAUAUGGGAAUGAGUUCUAAACUUGUGCUAUAUACUACGGUGUUUUAAUUGGGUCAUUGGUGCCCUCUUGCUGAAACUUGUAGCCAUGGUUAACCAUUUACAUACAUAAUCACAUAGUUGCCACAGUUUGCAAGACAUGCAACCAAUACUUCUACUUUAUUCGACUCAAGUCAGAUAUCAUCAUGCAGUGUCCAAUUCCGGGAAUCGCACUUCAAGAGCUGAAUGCAGGCAAACUGGAACAGAUUCAGAACAGGGCAGUGAAGCUGAAAAGGGUUAUGGAAGAAAACAAGUCAUCAUACGAGGAAAGGUUGAAGGAAGGAAGUGGUUUUGUUUAGUCUGGAGAAGGCGGAAGGAAGACGUGAUAGCACGAGGGGCCAUUUGCCUUUUUCAUUGUGUUUAGCUGUGUCUAACUGCUUCUGUUCACUGGUGUUUUUAAGAACAGGCUUUCGUCCUACUGAUGGUUGUUUUUAAUUCAUUUUAAUGUUAUAACUAGUGCUUUUUUCUGGGGGGACGCAGGGGUACACAUACCCCUAAACAUCUAGUGAAUCUAAGUUUGGCCUCUUUGAGGGGCAGUAUUUCAAUAUGAGUAGGAAAAUGGGAGUAGCCCUAAACAUUUUUUUUUUAAGAAAAAAAAGCACUGGUUAUAUCCCUGUCCUGGUACAAUGGACUUUGAAAUAACAUUAAAAAUAGUAUUCUUCAUAUACCCAAAGUGCUGAAAAGGGCAAUGACUUAUCCUCUGCUACUCCAGGAGCCAGGACUCGAUCUAAUGGGCUUUGGAUGCAGGAGAGUAGAUUUCAGUUGGAUCUUUAAGAGAAACCUUAUUAGGAAGAGCACUUUGACAAUGGGACCAAUUGCCUUGGGGAAUGGAGUGGUUCUUGCAUGACCAAUGGAACCAGGUGCUUGGAGAGUGGGGAUCCAUCAGUGUCAAUGAACCUAUUCUGAGUAUGGCAUCAAGUCAGGUUAUUGGUCCAUUGAGCUCAGUAUUGCCUCCACUGACUGGAAGUGCUCUCCAGGGUAAAAAAGGGAGAAUUCCUACCUGGAGAUGACAAGAAUGGGACCGGAGAUGUCCCACAAGUCAAAGUGUUGGUGCUGACCUUGAAAGCUGACCUCGGCCCUGCAUCUCCACCCCUGUCGUUCUGCCCGGACACUGAGGUCCAGCUCGGAGGACUUUCUGGCAGUUCCCUCAUUCCAACAACAGAAGUUACAGGGAACCAGGCAGACGGCCUUCUCGAUAGUGGCACCCGCCCUGUGGAGUGCCCUCCCAUCAAAUGUCAAGGACAUAAAGAACUAUUCAACUUCUAGAAGACAUCUGAAGGCAGCCUUGUAUAAGGAAGUUUUUUUAUGUUUGAUGUUUUAUUAUGCUUUUAUAUUUGUUGGAAGCUGCCCAAAGUGGCUGAGGCAACGCAUUUAGAUGGGUGAGGCACAAAUAUUCUGUUGUUGUUGUUGUUGUUGCUACAUGCAAAGCAGAUUCUCUACCACUAAGCUACCAGCAAAGCUUGCCAAUUAUCUCUCCUUAGGAAUAACUGCUUAUUGUUCCUCCCCAGCUUUGUUGACUGGUUUGCAGAGUGUUAGUUUGGAGGGGAGCGCUGUGGCGAUUUGUGAGGAGGAAAAAGUCCUGCAUCUGUCUGUCUUUGCCAACGGCAUGAGGCGGCAAUUACAGCUCUGCCAGACAGCGUGGAGCCCCUGUUUUUAACACAAUUAAUUAUGUCAUGGCUUAAUAAAUUCAUUGCGGUGUAGAGCAGCGAAAAAUAUGGUUGCACAAUUGCAGCGGUGAGGGAGAUUGAAAAACAGGGAAACGUUUCCUCACUCAACCGCUUUGUUUCUGAAAAACAGCAGAUAAGAGGCAGCUUUGAGCUUAUACAGUGUUGUGCUGUAAAGAUAUAUGUGACUGCAUUUUGAACACCUCCCAUACCUAGUUUAGAGUGGCCCAUGCUUGAGGCAGAGCUAGAAGCCAGAGUGAAAAAGCAAUUCUUCAAUAAUAAUAAUAAUAAUAAUAAUAAUAAUAAUAAUAAUAAUUUUAUUAUUUGUACCCCACCCUACCCAGCCACUCUGGGGAGAGGAAACCUGUUAUAUAUAGAUCUUUAGUAAAAUUGUUUCUUGUUUAACUUCUCUGACCUGCUCAUCAUUAAACAGAGAACAUUACAAAUGUUAUAUGUUCUCUUGGAACAUACAGACCCUGUCCCAAAGACAUUCCCAUUUGUGUCACAAAUACUAUUUGUUGUGGGAUUUGCAGGAAGUUGCCAUCACUAUAUUCUUAGCCUCAUUAAACUUGAUCCGUAUAAAAAUAAUAAUAAUCAUAAAAAACACCUUACAACACAAUUCUGUAGCUUUUGCAUGGGAGCAAGCCCCACUGACAGCGGUGAGAUUUUCUUCUGAGUAAGCAGGCAUACGGUUGCACUUCAGAAAAACAAAAAACUCAAAGAUGUGGCCUGAAGUGUUUUGAAAUAAACAGACAAGAGGCUGUGCUGGCUGAAGGAAGCAAUAUGAAGGGGGAAAAUCAGAACACUGCAUGGUAUUCAACUAGGUUUUACUUAGAGUAGACCCAUUGAAAUUAAUGGACCUAACAUAGUCAUGUGACAUGUCUAUGAUUUCAAUGGUUUGGUCUGGGUGCAGCUUGCCCAAUUUGUCAAGUUCAUAUAGCAAAAAAUGGAAGUUUAAUGAAAAAUAUAACUCUAUAUAUACCAUGGAGAACAGACAUAGAGCAAAAGAGUUAAUUCCCCACCCCCACCCCAAAUUCACUGUCCGGAUUGAUGGAAGUGGGGGGUGGCAGCUGCUUUUAACUUUUUAAAAACUUUAACCAUCUUGGGGUUUUCUUCUUGUUUGCUACCAAGCUAAGUUUUCUGUGAAUGUGCAGCAGUACUUCAGAGCAGUAUAAGUCAUAAAAACAAACAGGAACUUUGUAACCGGGGAUGUUGGUGGGAGAAUUUAAGAAGAGACCAAGGCACUAUUUGUGACCAACAUAUCAGCAGAAUUUCAUGAUAGGCAGUUCCCAGAAUCUCUGUUUGUAAACCUAAGUGGAAUGACGAGAGUACUGAUAUUGGAACUGUAUGUUUUCACUGACUCUUUGAAAACACAACUGUACAGAGGCUAUAAAGUGCUGUGUCUCUGCUAGGUUUCAGAGGGUGGGAAACUUAUUAGCUGGUUUGCUUGUUUGGUUCAUUAAAUUUAUAUAGUAAAGGUAAAGGUAAAGGGACUCCUGACCAUUAGGUCCAGUCAUGGCCAACUCUGGGGUUGCGGCGCUCAUCUCACUUUAUUGGCCGAGGAAGCAGGCGUACAGCUUCUGGGUCAUGUGGCCAGCAUGACUAAGCCGCUUCUGAUUAACCAGAGCAGUGCACAGAAACGCCGUUUACCUUCCCGCCAGAGCGGUACCUAUUUAUCUACUUGCACUUUGACGUGCUUUCGAACUGCUAGGUUGGCAGGAGCAGGGACCGAGCAACAGGAGCUCACCCCAUUGCGGGGAUUCGAACCGCAAACCUUCUGAUCGGCAAGUCCUAGGCUCUGAGGUUUAACCCACAGUGCCACCCGUGUCCCACAAUUUAUAUAGUGCUUGAUAACAAAUAACAAAAAACCUCGAAGCAAUUUGAAAGCUGAUUUGUCCAGCCAGGUUUUAGCAGUCCCCAGAAAUAGGUAAUUUUCAUUUGGCAAACCAGAAUUCCUUUCCCCUUAUUUUCAAGCCUAAGGUUUUUGUCAAAUAGCUUUUUAAAAAAUCUGUAGACUUGUCCACCCUGAAGCUCCUCUCCCCAUCUCAGUGUUGUCCUGGGCCGUCCCCUAUUUAAAUAUGGUUGGUUCCCCCCACCUCCCCAAUCCGAGCCAUUUUUCGGAGCCAUACAUAUUUGGGUAAGGGAAUAGAAGAGCCAUGAAACUCCUGAAAAAAAUAAAACCAAACAGCUGAGGAGCAGCUAUAAGCUUUGUUCCCCUGAGGGCAUUACAGAGGCGAAGGAGAGCUAAUCUUUUGACUUAUGUGAAAACAACCACCUCCAGUGCUUUAUUAAAAAAAACACAACCAAAAAAACCAAACCCUCUAAGUGCAAGUCAGUGAUUCAUAGCCUUCUUGAUGUGGAAAGGCAUGCAAAAAUUUGAAGGUCAAUGGCAGGACCUCCCCUAGAUACAAACUUGAAACAAAUGCCACUCCAUUUUUUUCUGAAAAUGUAUUUUCCUUCCCUACUUAGGGAGAACACACCCCUAGGGUGCAUUUUAUUUAGAUGUGUCAUGCUUUGAUCAGAUGCCUGACCUGGGGAUUUUCUAAAGAAGAGAUCAGACAACCUUUUCUAAAAGGCUGCCUCUUCUGUUGACGUAUAUGCGAUGGCACCUUGGAAUGCACAUACCUGCUUUUAUGUAAGGAAGGAAGGCCAACGAGACAAAACAAACACAGCUCAUUUUAUUCUUUCCUCUGUAAAAUAAAUCAAGAGCCUCGGAGAUUCGUUUAUCUUGCAGGAAAUGGGAUGAAGUUAGCAGCAGUUGCUGGCCUACUCAGCUGGAUAACAUCAGAGAAAGCCAACAGUUGUUUGAGUGUUCUAUUUUCAACACCAUCUGGGAUCAGUGCUCCAACUGCAAUGGAAGCAUGUGCCUAUGUGUCUGUAAUAAACAAAAAUCUGCCCUUAUUCCCUUAUGGGGGGACAAAAGAGCCCUUAUAGAGUCCUUUGUAGAUUCUCCAUCGGUUGGAGAAAAGAACAGAGGCCAACCAGAGAAUAUUGAGAAGCAAAGCAGCUCUUGGCCUGAUCUUUACUGAACUGUUGCAACAGGGUGCCCCCUUCACACGCAGGAGAAGGAGGACCCAGAACCCAGGUGUGCCCGCCCUUAUAUAGACAUUUUAAAUUGCCUGCCUUGGAGUCCAAGACCACCCCCAGAUACAUCAUACCUACAUCACAGAAAGGGCGGUCUACGGCAGAAAUCUGAGUGGGUUGUUUGUCUCCUGUCUGGCAAGUUACCUGUUAAUGCUUACUUGAUUGGAUACCCUGGGGAGCCUGGCCAGUUUUUUUUAAUGAUAAAUACUUAGUUCCUGAGCCAGGUCACAGGCUCACCCUAUUCAUACCCAGACAUACCCUUAAGACAGGAUUUGUGAAGGAAAAGACAAUGGGGAGGCUUUUCCAUUUUCAUUUGACUUUGCAGAGAAAAUAUUUGGUCAGUUUGGGAGUCAAAAAUGGUUCCAGGGCUGUUUUUUUCCUGUGCUGCUUCAGACAUGUGGUAUAUAUAUUUAUGUACGUGUUUGCUUGGUACAUUUAUGAACAUUUAUUAUAUAUAUAAGGCCUUAAUUUUUUUAUUUCAUGUCCAAGGAUCACAUGAGCCAAGCAGAAUAUGCUGAGUUAACUAACAUGGAUGCUCUGAGAUACCUCCAACAUUUCUCUGAUGAAAAUAGGGCCAUCUCAACAUUUCUCUGAUGAAAACAGGGAUGUUCUAUACCCUCGAACAUUUCUCAGAUGAAAAUAGCGAUGCCCUACCAUAUUCUCCACUAUUUCUCUGAUGAAAAUAGGGGCAUCCUAGCACUUCUCUGAGGAAAAUAGGGACAUCCUAUUCCACAUCCUCCAAUAUUUCUCUGAUGAAAAUAGGGAGGUCCUGCCUUACCCUCCAACUUUUCUCCAAUGAAAAUAGAGACAUCCUAACAUUUCUCUGAUGAAAUUAGGGACAUCCUUCCACACCCUCCAACAUUUCUCCAAAGAAAAUAGGGACAUCCUAAGGAAAAGGAGGAAAUCCUCACAGUGUUUUUCUCUUUUUUUUUAGGAGGGGGAGAGACCUUUAGCAAGCUUGUAGUUUGUGUAGAAAAGAGAUUAACACAUCACCACUGCCACCUCCUUUUAAAUAUCAGCAGACACCUCAAGUAUAAGGAUGGGGAAGGACAUUGUCUUUCAGAGGCACUUUGUAUUUUAUAUUUCAGUUUUUAAAAAUGGGGUGUUAUACUAAAGCCAUUCACGCAGAACGUCUCUUUUGACAGCCCAGAUGGAUGGCGUACCGGGACGGAACAUCAUUGUGCAGAGAGACAGCAGAAUAGAAUGUUCUAGCCAAGCAGAAGGCAGUGGGGUGAGGAGGAGAAGCAAGAGAGAGACCAUCUACGGCGUGAACAACCCAACAAGCCAUAGCACUUCUUUUCAAACUUGAGAGAGGUUGACUUUGCGUACUGAUAUGACAGAUGUACAAUUUAGCUGUUUUUUGUUUUGUUUUUAAGAUCAAAGCUUUUGAAAGCUUCCAACUAUGGUUCACACGUGUUCACAUCACUUGGAACUCAAAGGGGAGACUAUCUCUGGUCAUUGGAUUGGCGUAUGUUUUUAACCUAUCAUGCUUUCGUAGUCAUGCUCUGCUUCUGGACAUCCCAUUGAGAAACCUGGUUGGCCACUGUGGGAAUAGGAUACUGGACAAGGCGGGCCCUUGGCCUAAUCUAGCAGGCUCUUCUGAUAUUCACAGUGAUUUGCUGGGACAUUGAGCUUGUAAUUCGUCACUGUCAUUUGAUGACCCACACUUUGCAAUUUGUAUUUUAAAUCCAAGCUGUUUAUGCUGUCUGUGUUGCAACGAAUGCUUUUUGGCUUCAUGGUCUCUUAUUGUUUCAUUCUUGAUUUUCAUCUGGCUGCAUUGUAUAUAUUUAUAGCAUCGGUCAGUUUGUGAGCCACCCAGGGAAUAUUUACUGAUGGAAAACCAAUUGUCCUUCUAAAAUAGAAUGACUUACAGAUGAAUGUGUGAACUCUUUGGAAAAGGCCUGGAAUCCUAGCGUUGGCAGGGAGAGUAAAGUCAACAGGGAACCGGAGCCAAUCCAAAUUCCUGACUUGGAUAACAGCACUAUAGGUGCUUUUGCAGACACAUACAUUGCAUUUUUAAGUGUGCUUCAGAAUAAGGGGUGGGGGAGAGAAACCAAACACAUUGAGCUGGUUUGCAUGUAGGUAAUACUAAGCCAAGCUAUAACUUGGCAUACGGAUGCUCCAAACCACAGUUCUAGAGGCUCAUUACAGGCAAGGAGGCUGCUUCUUCCCAGUUCUAGCCUGGUCAUUCCUGACAAUGAGUGAAUUUCAGUAGCGUGUCACUUUUCUCAGCCCUAUAUAGGAAGCAACAAAAGCCCCUCUUUUGCACCAUCAUUACAGACCAGGCAUCCCCAAACUCGGCCCUCCAGAUGUUUUGGGACUGCAACUCCCAUCAUUCCUAGCUAACAGGACAAGUGGUCAGGGAUGAUGGGAACUGUAGUCCUAAAACAUCUGGACAGCCGAGUUUGGGGAUGCCUGUUACAGACUUACAAAUGCACUACAUGCAUCUCUGAAAGCUUUUGGAAUAAUAAAUGUGUUAGUCUUUAAGUUGCUACCACACUCUUUUUUGGGGGGGGGGGUCAUUGAGGCAGCAAGUUACGCCAACCUAUCCUAGAAGCAUAGAAUUGUAGAGUUGGAAGGGACCCUGAGGGUCAUCUAGUCCAACUCCCUGCAAUGCAGGAAUCCCAACUAAAGCAUCCAAGACAGAUGAUCAUCCAACCUGUGCCCAAAAACCUCCAAGGAAGGAGAGUCCCCCACCUUCCAAGAGAGACCAUUUCCACUGUCAAACAGCUCUUAUGGUCAGAAAGUUCUUCCUGAUGUUUAGUCAAAAUGUCCUUUCUUGUAACUUGAAUCCACUGUUUUGGGUCCUACCCUCCAGAGCAGGAGAAAACAACCUCUUGAGAUAUUUGAACAUUGCUGUCAUAUCUCUUCUCAGUCUUCUCUUUCCCAGACCAAACAUACCCAGCUCCCUCAACUGUUCCUUGGCUUGGUUUCCAGACCCUUGAUCAUCUUGGUUGCCUUCCUUCUGCAAAAUACAGUCAUACCUCGGGUUACAGAUGCUUCGGGUUGCGCGAUUUCAGGUUGCGCACCGUGCCGAACCCAGAAGUACUGGAAGGGGUUACUUCCAGGUUUUGGCAGUUGCUCAUGCGCAGAAGAGCUAAAUUGUGCUUUGCACAUGUGCAGAAGACCAAAUCACAACCCAUGCGUGCACAGAUGCAGAGCUGUGGGUUGUGGAUGCUGCGGGUUGUGGACGUGCAUCCUGCAUGGAUUCGUUCGCAAUCCGAGGGUCCACUGUAGUAAAAAUCUGGAGGCCAGCCCUGUGAGAGAAAAGUGGUUUUUGAUUGUUUCAGGACAUUCUGGCUCCUGCUUCUCUGCCCCUAAUGCCUAUGUUUGUAUACCGUAUAUGUCUCCCACGGUCUCUCCCAUAGACUGCCCUUAUAGAGGCUGCUGAGAGCUUCCCAUCACCUGGAAAAGAAAUAAAGUGAAACAAUGCAAUAGGAUGGCCUUCUGUGAACAUUCAGCCAGUCUGCAUGUGCCUUUUUAUCCCAGAGAUAAAUACUAACCACUUCCCUUUAGUGUGGCAGGAGAGGAGCAGCAGCAAUAGGCGGCUGAGCUGUGGAGUCUGAAAUCAAAAGUGUGUCCUCCUAAAAGCAGAUUGAGUGUGGCACAUGCAUGAAGCACCGUUGUAUUAAAGCGACUAUAAACCACCACGCCGUGUCCCUGGAGUCUGGGCAACCUCGAUGCCGCAGUGCAGAAUCAGGCGGAUAACCCUCAUUCACUCCGACAGUUAUUCCACUUCUCAUAGCCUCACAGCUAUGGGAAUUGGGGAGGAAAUUGUUUUCAGCCACAAGUGGCUGCCAUUGUAAACGUCAGAUGUGUUUGUGCGAAAGAGGCUAGGCUCUUGUUAUUACUGCCUCAGUGAUGUAUUCAUUACGUCCAGGCACAGCUAAAGUACCAACUCAAAAAGUGAAAAGAGCAUUUUUAACAGCUCCCACCUGAAUUCCCAACUCCUUCCCUCUUUCUCUUUCUCUUUCUCUUUCUCUCUCUCUCUCUCCCCCUUUGUCUGUGUGUUGCUAAGGAAAGCGGAAGCCAAACCGGUUCACCUAAAUCGUUUCAAAUGUAUCUCGUUUCCCUCUGUCAGGGAAUAAAAGCACAGAUUAUCAUAGAAUCAUAGAACUAGGGUUGGAAGCGUCAUCUAGUCCAACCCACUGCAAUGCAGGAAUCUCAAAAAUCAUCCAUGACAGAUGGCCAUGAUGAUUUUUGCUCGUGAUGUUACUGGGCAGGUUAUAAGCAAUCCUGCUUUCAUCACCUGUCUGUUACUGGAAAAGUUCCAGAGCAGACAUUCUGCUUUGUUUCCAAAAAGUGCAUGUCCCAUAGCUUCCUGCUAAGAUGCUGUAACUUUUCAUACCACAAAUGUUUAGGGGGCAUUUGUCCAGCUUUCGUUGUGCUGUGGUGGUGUGCCGGAUGGAAAUAAUGCAGCAACAUUGGGGUUGCAACACACAGCUAAUGAAGGGAAAUUAGUGGAUGGUUCAGUAUAAAUCCACCACUCAUAUAUUCUUACUUAUACCUGAAGGAGCGUCUCCACCCCCAUCGUUCAGCCCGGACACUGAGGUCCAGCUCCGAGGGCCUUCUGGCUGUUCCCUCACUGCAAGAAGUGAGGUUACAGGGAACCAGGCAGAGGGCCUUCUUGGUAGUGGCUCCCGCCCUGUGGAACACCCUCCCAUCAGAUGUCAAGGAAAUAAACAAGUAUCUGACUUUUAGAAGACAUCUGAAGGAGCCCUGUUUAGGGAAGUUUUUAAUGUUUGAUGUUUUAUUGUGUUUUUAAUAUUCUGUUGGGAGCCACCCAAUUUAUACCCCAACCAGAUGGAUGGGGUAUAAAUAAUAAUAAUAAUAAUAAUAAUAAUAAUAAUAAUAACAAUUGCUACUACUACUACCGCAUCAAUGACAAAUACAGUCACAAAAAAGGACCUGUCUGGACGUGCCUGCUGUUUUCAUUACCAAAAUAAAAUAACAACAACAACAACAACAACAAUAAUCCUCUUUUGGGGAAGGGCUGUACCUCAGUGGUAGAAAACACAGCAAUGGGAAUGUACACACUGUCUGGACCAGGCUCUGCAAAAGGUCCCAGAUUUAGUGUCUCCAACUAGAUUCUUGCUUGAAAACUUGCAGAGCCACUGGCAGUCAGGGUUGACAAUGGCCCAAUGAUCUGGCAUGGUAUGUUCCCUGGAAAUUAUAGGCUUGGAGUUUAUAGGUGUUCAGUUCGUUGUGUAAUGUCCCAUUUUUGAAAAGAAAGAAAGAAAGAUCUGCUAUAUUAAGAAAAGUGAGGCAAAUAUGAAGGCUUGGCUAAUUAUCUGAAAGCAACCGUACAAACUGGUAUUACGGGAUCAUCAGCUCCUCCCUGUGACCGUUUAAAUCCAGCCUUUGUGGCAUUGUGAAAUAUGCUGCUUUGCUCAUUUCAGAUCAGAUGGGAACGAUGCAUGAAUAAAGGCAGCUAAAAUAGCUCCAAAUGUACUGCGACUGUCAGGUUAUCUGUUUCCAUCUGCAGCAAACUGCUGUACCAGCAAAAAAAUGCCCACUAAGCUAUUAUGCUUCAUUGCUCCAGAUAUAGCUUCAGUUACUUAAAGGAUAUUUAAUUACUGAGUUUUCAGGAUCUCCCACACUCUUCUUGGUGCUUCAUAGCUGCCCUUCAGCCUUAUGUUUCAAGAUUGUAUCUGGCCAUUGCUGUCCUUGCCUCCUGUGGACACUUUAACUCCACUUUGCUGCCUGCCUCUCAGUUGUGGCUUGCGUCAACUCUGUUGACUUCUCAGGACCAGCUGAAGGCUCACUUAUUUGCCUCUACAUUUGGAGGAGUCGCCUGAAUUUGUUUACCUAACAUUUAUUUGUAGAUGUAUUUCUGUGCCACCAUAUCAGGGUGGUGCACAACAAUAAAACAUAAAACACAAUUAGGAACCAUAGAAGUGUAGAGUUGGAAGGGGUACUGAGGGAAAUCUAGCCCAAACCCCUGCAAUGCAGGAAUCUCCACUAGAUCAUACAUGGCAGAUCACCAUCCAACCUCUGCUUAAAUACAUUAAGUGCCCUCUGUCUUUGAGCUCUUUGCUCUCCUACUUGUAAGGCUUGCCAGGUUCUGGGAGAUGGUGGGCCUGGAAUGCUUUCUAGUGACAACAUGUCAGCCAGCUGCUGCUCCAGCUCUGCCUGCUCCUCCUCUCCCAUUAUUUCCCAACUUUUGCCCUCAUCUGUCUCUGUGCUGUGACCUCCCACAAACCACUGUUGUAAAUCUAUACUGUCUUCCACUUCCUCCUCCGUGGAAAGGUCAGGCUAGGGAGGCAGUCUCCACCAUUCCUCCUCUGCCCCGUCCCUAACACCCACAAUACUAAAUGCCUGUUUUCUUGCAAACCUGACCUUUGUAAAAUGGGGAGAAAUUCUUCAUCCUGUUUAUUUGUUGCUUUUUACAUAGGAAGGUGCCCUAUGUCAGCCCACUGGUCCAUCUAAUUCAGUAUUUUCAACACUGAUUGGCAUUGGUGUUCCAAGUUUUCCGGUAGGAAGGAGGAGGAGGAGGAGGAGGAGGAGGAGGAGGAGGAGAAGAAGAAGAAGAAGAAGAAGAAGAAGAGGAGGAGGAGGAGGAGGAGGAGGAGGAGGAGUUUGGAUUUGAUAUCCUGCUUUAUCACUACCCGAAGGAGUCUCAAAGUGGCUAACAUUCUCCUUUCCCUUCCUCCCCCACAACAAACACUCUGUGAGGUGAGUGAGGCUGACAGACUUCAGAGAAGUAUGACUGGCCCAAGGUCACCCAGCAGCUGCAUGUGGAGGAGCGGAGACGCGAACCUGGUUCACCAGAUUACAAGUCUACCGCUCUUAACAGCUACACCACACUGGCUCUCAUACUACAUAACUACAUAACUCCAAAUCCUACCCGGAGAUGGAGGGGAUGGAACUUAGGACCAGUGCUGAAUUACCCAACGGGCAGACCAAGCAUGCACUUAGGGGCCCCUGGAAGAAGGAAAUGUGGUCCUUGGGUUGCAAAAAUUCCCCACUUCUGUUCCAGGGCCAGGCCCUUCAAUGUUGAGGGGGCCAAGGAUGGAGAUGAGUGUAGCACAAUUCAGGGGCUGGCUCCUUCUGAGCAUGCGAGAGGAAGACACACUGCGCUGGACUCCACGCUCUGCAUCCUCCUGACUGGAUUUACACUAAAAUCCUACAACUCCUCCUCCUUUAUCACCACCAUCAUCUUGUUGUUCACAGGCCAGUCCCUAGUCUAGGUAUCUGACAAUUGAGUUGAAAAAUGCACCUGGUAGAAAGCAGCUUUGAAUGCAGUGGGACCUCUGAGUAAACAUGCCUAAACAGUGCUCUCAUAGAUAUAUUUCUGAAAAGGUUUAUUACAGUUCCAAAGCUUGUUCCACUGCUUAUUUUUGUUCUAUUCUAGUGUCCUUUUGAUUAACUGUAGGGUCUUCAGAAAAUUAUACCCACCAGAAUACGCCCCCACUUCCUUUAGCAAAUUCCAGGAUGUACAACCUACACAUAAUGCCUUCUCCAUAUAGUGAGAAGUGUGUUGACCUUUGAAAAGUCUAUUUUAGGAGCUUUCUAUAUUCUUCAUACAUUUGUAGCUGCAGUCUAGCAACUGCUAGCUUGUGCAAAUAAAAAAACAAUUAAAAAAUCGAUCUUAAUAAUACAUGCCCUUUUCAGUAUUAUGCCUAGAUAAACUCUUGCCAAAUAAUCCUGCUAUUUGCUUUUGCUUUGAGACUAUUUAUUUCCACAGCGAUUCCACAAAAUCUCUUUUUGCUUCCAGUGAUCAUAUGCAUUUGUAUCUUUGUUAGUCAUGCUCUACCACGUAAUAAUUUUGCUUGCUUGUUUUUCCAUUUUCCAUCUUCUGUAUUUUGACUGGGGUUGUUAUGCCCCCUGCCAUGGAACAGUUUCCACCUAGUUUAGAAGAAACAGGAAAAGCUUCCUGACAGAUUGCUCUGUGAACUUCACAUACUUAGCAACUCAAAGAAAAGAAAUGGGAUGUGUUAUCUGAAGUUCAUCCAGUUAAGUUCCAUUGGUAAAAAUAAGUCAAGUGACUUAUAAACUUAGGCCACAUAAUAUUUGGGCAGCCCAUACAGUAUCUGAAUUUUGUUUUGUUUUAGAAACAGCAACCUUUAGAAAAGUUUAAAAAUUGAUGGUUUCGUCAGAAAAUGAGACUAGAGAGAAACAAUAUUUCCUUCAGAUAAUAAUAAUUUAUCAUUUAUACCCCAUGCAUCUGGCUGGGUUUCUCCAGCCACUCUGGGCGGCUCCCAAAAGAAUAUUAAAAACACAAUAGAACAUCAAACAUUAAAAACUUCCCUAAACAGGGUUGCCGUCAGAUGUCUUCUAAAAGGCAGGGAUUUGUUUAUUUCCUUGACAUCUGAUGGGAGGGCUUUCCACAGGGUGGGCGCCACUACCAAGAAGGCUCUCUGCUUGGUUCCCUGUAACCUCACUUCUCACAGGGAGGGAACUGCCAGUAGGCCCUUGGAGCUGGACCUCAGUGUCCGGGCUGAAUGAUGUGGGUGGAGACGCUCCUUCAGAGAGCUGAAGAUAGUAACUGAUGGGGCAUCAUUUCUCUUAGUGUUUUCAUCUCUAGUAAACUAGGUUUUGCAUGAUUUUGUAGGGCUUGAAAAACCUCUCAAGCCCGUUUGCUUAACAUUGACAGGAGGACAAAAGAAUGAAAUAAAUAAGUGUGUUUGCCACGUACAACAACUAACAGCACUCACACUAUCUUCAGUUCUCCCCAUAAUGAUGGACCAUCUCUGGUUAUGUGUGUUGAAUUUCCAUCCUCUGCUGUCAGCUCAUGAUGACCCAAGCUUCCCUUUAGAAUUUCCUGUGAUUCAGGGGGCUGACUCAAGAGCAGCAAGCCACAUAUUUGUUGUUGUUGUUAAUCAUAGAAUCAUAGAGUUGGAAGAGACCACAAGGGCCAUCGAGUCCAACCCCCUGCCAAGCAGGAAACACCAUCAGAGCACUCCUGACAUAUGGUUGUCAAGCCUCUGCUUAAAGACCUCCAAAGAAGGAGACUCCACCACACUCCUUGGCAGCAAAUUCCACUGUCGAACAGCUCUUACUGUUCGACACUAAUCAAUGCAGAGAUUGCAUUGGCCCUAGGCAACAUUUGACACCUGCUCCCCACAGUUCUCGCACUGCCUUCCCAAAGCUGAGGAAGUGAGGUGCUGGACUUUGGGAAGGAGGCGUGUGGGCUCUGUCAGGGUCCUAGAUUCCUUCCUCCUCCUUCUCAAACCUAGUUAGCAUAUUCCUGGUUUUGGGAAGGCAGCAUGAGAGCUGGGGGGGGGGGAUGUCAAAUGUUGGUCUCAUUUUGCUACCACCACCACCCCAUGUGUGCAACAAGGCAAUGUGCAGCUCGCGGGUUCUGGGUCAAAGUAUUCUUGUGGGCCACUUAGACUGCCCUGACUUAGGUAAUGACCCUCUUUAGAGGGAAAUAGGUAUACUUUCACUUCCUUCAGAAGGUUGUCAGCCAGCCUAUCUAAUUUGCUGGAUCUGGGCUUCUGCUCUAAAGACCAGGGCUGUCUCCAACUGUCUCCAACUAGACUAUGAUUGCACAAACAACCCUCGGCCAUAAUUCACAUUUUCAGUACAGAUUUCACACUGUCAGUGAUUUCCUAUGUGGGUAAACAAUAUUUACAUUUGUUAAUGGAAUGCUGUCAGCAAGACUACAGGAGAUGAGGGCAACUGGAACAUCAGACUCUUGAACUGAAUUAUCAUGCUUCGAUUGUUUUAGAUGGCGCACUCUUUCUUUCUGAUUAAUUUAUAUGUGUUUUCCAAGCGCCGUGCUUCCUUCAGGGAUUAUGUUCUCCUUGCACUUUUUGGAUAAAGCAAUUUUCGUGACAACAGCUUGAGUUAUUGUCAUGGAAGGGAGGGGACUAUGGGCUUCCAUUACACAAGACGUGGUUUUAUUCUGAAAGUUCAGGAGACUAUUUGCAAUCAGAAUGACCACCAAAACACUCAGUUUCCAUUAAACAAGAAUAUCUUCAUCCUCAUCAAAGCAGAAUUUUAAUGAUUCAGUUCUUUGUCAUGGAAAAGGAUUAUAAAUAGCCCCUUAAGGUUUAGCCUGGCAGAAUUAACAGUGUACAUUGAUUAAACAUUCUCCUUUGAAACUAAUGGUCCUUAAGUAGUACUUGCAUUUUAGUUUAAAGUAUGUUUAAAUUACACUAAUAGAAUGAUUCCAGUGGUACAGUCCCAGCCUCUAAAGCAACAGGCUUUGUACUCACUCUAAUUGUAAAGCACAUUUGAAGCACAUUCAUUCCCUCAAAGAAUUCUGGGUACUGUAGUUUGUGAAGAGUUGCUGGGAAUUGUAACUCUAUGAGGGGUACCCACUUUAAGGAUUGGAACUAGGGCUGGGUGAUAUAUUGAAAUAUCAUCCAAAACCAGUUUGAAGUCCACCUCAUGAUUAGCAGUUUCAUAAUUUUUGACCUGGAAAUAUAUCAUGAAUCAUGAUCUCUCUCUCUCUCUCUCUCUCUCUCUCUCUCUCUGUGUGUGUGUGUGUGUUAUGCAAAAAUCACAAUGUGGGGGUGAAACGUGAAGCCAGCCAAGGCCUCUACGUAGCUUUAUCCUCAUUUCAGAAAACAUAUCACAAUAUUUAGCUGGUGAUAUAGCACAAUGUUGAAGACCAAAUAUCACCCAGUCCAGUCCUAAUUGGAACAUGCCAUGGCAAUUAGGGCAUGUCAUUUUAGAGAGUAUUAAGCACUGCACAUUCUGUGGCCCAUGGCUUUCAGCACUGGAUCCCAACCCUCUGAAAACCAAGUGCUCCAUCACAAAAGACUUGAGCCAUUUGAAGCAUCUCGGUUGCAACAAAUAGGUUCUAAGCAAGAAUUCACAAUGCCAAUCGGUAGCGCUACCUGGUAUACCAUUCAAGGAGUCGAUUGCUUUUUAUGUAAAAGAUUGCACCACCACAGUUAAUUAUCGGGUUGGUAUUUUCAAACAAGACUUUUGGGGUUUUUUGACAUAACAACUGCACUCAGUUCAAAGGAAGGUUUGAACAAUACUGUAUACAUAAGGAUCUAAUCCAUUGGGGGGGAGGCAGGCGGGCGGGCGAGAUGAGCAUAAAAGGCAGCUUAUUAAGCAAGUGUGCACAUAAUUAUUAUCACUACUGCAGGAAAGCAUUUCACAUCCUGAGAUAAAGGUUGAGGUUUAUCUCUGUUGGAAGCGAUCAGGGAACUGGAAGAGAUACAAAGCUGUGAAAGGUAAAUUCACGAGUAUUCAAAGUGCCUGACAAAAGGCAUUGCACUGUCUACAAAAAGCUGUCUGUUUACUGUGGUGAUCACACAGGGUCCCCGGACGUUUCACCGUCUAUUGAUUCCUGUGCCACCACUUUAUUUCUAGCUGCCACCACCCAGGCCCUACCUGGUACAAUACUGAGUCCAGUCAGGGUUAAACGGAACAUAAACUUCUGUUUAUUUAUUGCAGUUUAGCAAGCGCGUGGUUUCAUGAACAGUAUUGGUCCAUUACAGUCAUGGGGUGCCUAUCCAGACCUAUAACAUCCGCUACCUGCUCUCACUCACUAAACCACCUCUCAGAUAUUUACUUGUCUUCCUAGCUCCUAACUGUUCCUGACUCAGGUUAUUUCGCUACACUAACUCAACCUACCCACAGACUCUAUCCCAAUUCACUCCCACUCCAACCAACCACCCAACUCCCACCAAACUCCUCCCUUCGCCCCUCCCAGAGCUGGUUUUAUAGUCCCUCUGACUCCACCCCCGGGUUCUGAUUGGGUAACCUGUUUAACUAUUUCACCUCCAGGACUCUCAUAUGUUAACGUCACACUUAUAUCAAAGAAGAGAAAAUCUAAAACAGCAUCAUGAAUAAGAACAGAGUUAUAACUUAGGGUGGCCCUCAGCAACAUUUGAUGCCCCCAGCCCCAGCCCUCAGACUGCCUUCCCAAAGUUAGGGACGGAGGCCCUGGGCUUUGGGAAGGAGACGUGAGGGCCCUGACAGGGUCCUAGAGUGCUCCAGUCUCCUUUCCCAAAGCCUUGUUAGUGCUUUCCUCCCUUAGCCAGCUUUUUUGAAAGGCAGCAUUGGGGGGAGUGUCAAAUUUUGGCCUCACUCCCCCCCCAGCCCUUUUUAGGGUGGGGUGUUAAUUUCCCCCCAUGUAUUAAACAAGAAUGUCAAGGAAUGAGAACAGUCCCAUAAAAGAAAAAGAAAAACCAUCUUGCUGCACCCUGUUUACAUCUAACCCUUCUGGGGCCCAAUGAUAAGGUCUUUAUAACUUCCACUGAAGAGGACAAAUUUACCCUCAUUUACUUGUGGUUUUUUAAUGGCUCAGUCUAUCUACUCUAUUAUAACAGCUGCCAGUGCCCACGAUCAGUAACUCUUGCUAUAUAAAAUCCCAUGGGAACUGAGGUGAUGUUGGGUAGAAAUCUCAAGACUCUCAUGGCCAAGGCUUUGUUUUUAGAACAGUGUUUUUCUUACCGGAUUCUACAUUUCAGAAUUAUCUGGGUAAUUGGCCUUUCAAAAAAAAAAAGAAGGAUACUAGCUUCCGAAUCAAAUCAGAUGUUCUUAAAGUCUAUCUUGGCAAGACAAAAGGCUUAAAACCAAACAAAGCAAGAGGUGGGGGAGAAUUCCCUGGUUCAAAGGAAAUGUAAAACAACGUGCUAGAACAGGAGCCUUAAUGGAACAGGAGAUGAGAGGUUCUUUUUAGACUAAUUAUUAGAUGCAUCACAUAAGAUAGUUUAUUAUACUUGCAGACAAAUUCCCUCUAGAAUUCUCUGUGGGUUUUUUUGGGCGGGGGGCUGAGUCAAGAGCAGCAAACCAUAUAUUUGGGGGGGGGAGGUUAAGCAAAAAUUGUGGCAUCAAUGCAGAGAUCCAUUAGGCAUUAAUCCCUAUUUGAUGUGGGUAGUUUUAAUUUUGUUGUGUUUUAGAAAAGACACAAGAUAAGCCUCUGGGACCAAGGCCAUCCCAGAAAGCCGGGAAAAGUCAAGGGAGUCUUAAAGCACCAUCUGGAUAGGCUGUCAUGAGGACAGCUUUCUUCCAAAGACAAAACAAGCCGGGGCAAGUGAGCAGCAGCCGCAGUCCACUUGGCGUUGCCAGAGGAAGUUCUUUGCUUCAGUUGCAUUCAGAAGAGGCAGCUGUUUUUUUAACCAGGACUCAAGCUAUCCCAGUUUCAGGUUAAGAAUAGACCUCCGGAAUGAAUUAAGUACUUAACCCGAGGUACUAUUGUAUUGCUCCAGAUGAAUGAUAAUUUUACAACUGAUAACUAUGUAAACAGCAAUUGGAUUUUGAAUUGCCCAAAAUCUCAGCCCUGUUUUGAUAUUGGAUGUUUAUCUUUGCUUUGGUUGUUUUUUAAACAUUGUGAAAGGUUUUUAAUAGAUGCUGGUACAAUAAGACAUCUAAACUUGAAUAAACCAGUAUUCAAGGGUUGAUUAUAGACCUGUACUCACUCUUGCAUGCUAGCAAUAUUGAAUAUGAACCUAUGUUAUGGAAACCUCUGUGUCCUAUCAGAGUCCAUUUAAAAGCAGAUUAGGCUUAAGAGAAGCAGAUAUCAUGUUCCAUUUCAGUCAUGGCGAACCACUAAAUUCCACUGGCUACCACUCUGGUUAUAUUCUAUGCUGGUUAUAUUCUAUUCUGUAACAAUGUGGGAAGUUAAAUUGCAUAUUUUUAUGUGAAGAGAUGUUAGUGAAAUGAAGCUCUUAUUCAGAACGCAAACCAGGAACAAAAAUCAUCAUGAUUCCAUACCUGGAAAGAAAGAGAAUGGAAGGCAAGCUGCCUUGAGACCAGGAGAUUGCCAGUAGACAGCCACACUGGCUGCAGUGUGAUGAUAGCCUUACAUUUUUAUGCAUAUAGGAAGAUAUAAGGAUACCUAUCAUACUAGUUAUCAUACUAGGACUGGGUAAAUCCAAGUUCUAUCCUGACUCAGCUCUGAAGCUCACUGGAUGAUCUUGGGCCAGUCAUGACCUUUCAGCCUAACUUCCUUACAAGUCUGUUGUGAAGACAAAAUCGAGGUGGGUGGAACCGUAUAUUUCAGCUUCUUGGAGGAAAGAUGGAGACAUAAAUGUAAUAAGUUUCAUGAUGAGAAAGGAACCUUUUUAUACAGCCAGACCAUAAUUUGAACCAGGGCAUCCUCUUCUGAGUGCACCAAGUCUUUUCAUCUCCACAAUCAGAGGCCAGAAUGAACCACUUCCCCUUCCUUUAUACCUGAUGAAUAAAUGGUUGGGAUUCCAGGUCAAAAAUCUUCAUGAAAUCCUGGCAGGCUUGAGGCCUGGAGCCUUUCUGUUUAGGCUGAAGGCAAUUCACUAGUAAUAUAUGAUGACCCACAUUUCCCUGGCUUUGGUGCAUGCCUGGGAAUGCAAAUUUGCUAAAGGAGAUUGCUGAGCAGCUGUCAAUAGAGGCUCAGCAGGUCAUAAAUUUUAGAAGGAAGCCUUGGCCGCCCACUUACUGUGUGAGAAAUAGCCUUAUUUCUGCUACUUCUCCCCCUAUAGCUAACUGGCAAAAAAGCCCCUACCCAUUAGCAAUGACCAUCGGCUAAUGUAUCAUCUCCUUAGAAGAACUCCAAGCAAAUUACUGGCUUUUUCAUUCCUAAGGAGACAGGAAUGAUGUAGUGUUGAUUCUCCAGGCAGAAGUUUAUACGUUUUCUGCAAAAUGAAAUGGAAGAGGGUGGGGAGGCUGACAGAUCUUUGCAGUGUAAUCUCGCACUGACAAUAUGGCUUCCUGUUAAUAAGCCUAUAAAUAAAGCUUCUCAUCUUCCCACCCCCUCUGCAAAUUUUCAUACUUGCUUGCAUUUCAUACUCUUAUCAGGACAGAUCUAAAUUGCUGUUCGCUAAUGAUGUGCAGUAAUUAAAUCCAGCUAUCCAGAGCUGGUCUGUGUAAAUUGCAAACAUCCCCCAAACAGUUGAAAUUUGGAGAAGCAGCUGCCAUGGAGACACAACAAAAUCAUAUCCCGGAGUUUCCUCCCACCUACCCACCCAAAGGUUGUUUAAAUUAAACUCCAUAACUACUUUCUAGAUUACAAUUAGCACACAGACUCGCCAUACUCUUCCUCGUGGUUACAUUCCACUGAGGUCGAUUCCUGGCAAAGUUUACAAUUUAAAUAAAGGCCAGUGUUGUCGUAAGGUAAGGUACCCUAGAACUGGUCUUUAUACUGGUUAAUUGUUAAUAAAUUCUCCUCCCAAACCCUCCAAGCACCCCUAUUUUCCAGGGACAGUCCUAGAUUUACAGAAGCCAUCCCGGUUUGAUCUCAGAAUGUCCAGCUUUUCCUUCGGACUUUUCCUCUGUUUUCAUCAGAGAAAUGUUGGAGGGUAUGACUUCCAAGGGGCGGUAAGAGAGGCAACCACAAAUGUAUAUAUUUAUUUUUAUUCAUUUGUUGGUCUUGCAUUUAUACCCUGCCUUUCUUCUGUCAUUUGCACAACAUGGCUUCCUCUCUCUCCUCCCCCCGUGUGCCCCACACCCCUAAAAUUGGUUCAAGGGGGAUUGGAACAGCCUGUGGGGAGACAGCCCUAUUCUAUGGGGACAGCCCUAUUUACAGUAAUCAGAUGGCAACAAUAUUCCAAAGACAGAUGCAACCAAUUGAGUUCCUGUUAAAUAUGCAUGCUUGCAAAUGCCUGUAUGCCAUGUGGUUAUUGGUCCAGAGGGUCUUGCAAACCCUUAUUUGCUAACCCUGAGGCUAUUUUGCUAUAGCAACAUCCCCAAGUCCCUGAUUGCCUUUGCUUAUAUUGAUGACCGCCAUGAUUGAUGAAAUAAGGAUGUCACAGUUACGAUAGGGCUGCUGUACGUCCUGAUGUAUGGCAAGAAGGGCAAUUUUUUUAAAAUAAAAAAAUGCUUUGAAAAUCCUUUGAACUCCCCCCCUCCCAACAAAAAAAGCUCAACUUUUGGGAAUAUGGCAACCCUAAGUUUUUUGUUUUUUAAAAAAUAUAUUUGAUUAGAUUUUCUUCUAACCAUACAAAAGUAAAAAUCACCAUAACAGGCAGACAAUAGUAACAAACACACACAAACAACUAUAUGCCAAAACAAUUUCAAAUCCAAAAAUAGGGAUUCUCUGAAUCCUGUGACUUCCCUCCUCCCACCCCUGGUUCCUUAAUUUUGCUUUUCAACUGCAUAUCGUUACUAUUCCCCCAAAAAUUUCAUCCAAGUUUUCCUAUUAUGCCUCUAAAAUUACAAGUGUUCUUUAAAUCCUGCCAAUGUGUUAACUUGUUUACAACACUUUUGCAUAUGUACAAGAAACGUUUCCCAUUCCUUUCUGAAUUUCUUGUUGUCUUGAUUCCUGAGUUUUCCAGUUAAUUUUGCCAUUUUGGCGUAUUCCAUUAACAAGUUAAGUUAUGGUGCUUCUUCCCAUUAGCAACCCUAAGUUGUGAUGCUUCUUCCCAGCCAGUGGCAGAGGAAGAGGGUGCGGUGGGUGCGGUCCACCCUGGGUGUCAUCCCUGAGGGGGGUGACAUCACACCGCUGCCCCCCUGGGACGCUCGCCACUUGCCGCGGGCAGCAAGCCCCGCCCCCAGGUGCACAGUUUGUGAACCUCUCCAGGUGCCAGAGCAGCUAGCUCCGACUCUGUUCCCAGCCUCCCUUUGGGCAAUUCACAGCUCACCCUUUCCUUUCAUUAAACAGUUUUGCUCCUUGACAAGUGCAAGGAGACAUUUAAAUUGCCUUCCUGAAAAGUUACUGGUUUGUGGAAGGGGGCCUCUCAUGGGCUGGAGGUGGCAUCAGCAUAAGAUGCAAAUCACAUAUUUGAUAGUCUAGGACAUGGGUAGGCAAACUAAGGUCCAGGGGCUGGAUCUGGCCCAAUUGCCUUCUAAAUCUGGCCCGUGGAUGGUCCGGGAAUCAGCAUGUUUUUACAUGAGUAGAACGUGUCCUUUGAUUUAAAAUGCGUCUCUGGGUUAUUUGUGGGGCAUAGGAAUUCGUUCAUAUUUUUUUUCAAAAUAUAGUCCAGCCCCCCACAAGGUCUGAGGGACAGUGGACCGGCCCCCUGCUGAAAAGGUUUGCUGACCCCUGGUCUAGGAGCUGCUCACUGAAACUGAUUUGGAAUGCUUCCAGGUGCGUAUACCUAGCUACAAACUAGGGUUUGCAUUUCACAAUUUUGCAAACUAACUCCCACCUAUUCUCCUUCACUGCUGCAUUGCUGUACCAUCUUAUUUCACUUUGGGUAAUCACCCUCCGGUUAUACACACAUACCCCACAAUACAAAUUAGAAUACACAUGACACCCAUAUGCACUGAAAAUUUGUUGUUGUUUUUCGCAACUAUACAUUGAAGCAGCAAUGGGACAUUCUGUUCCCUCUACUGACCUGAUUAGCAAUAUCAUAAGGUGAUGGUAAACAUAAUCUGUUUCUUUGUUUGUCUGCAGUCCAUCUGACUGGGUUGCCCCAGCCACUCUGGGUAGUUUCCAACAAAUGAAAACACAGUAAGACAGUUAUGUCUUCUUUUUGGUUAAUACCAGCAGGGUGCUGCUCCUGUUCAGACGUCUGAUGCCAACCUCCAUUAGCAAAUAUGCCAAGCUGAACAAUUAUUUUUGUAAACCUGUUUUGGGUGGGGAGCAGGGAGAGACAGGUCUGAUUCUGAAUCUAGUUUGCUGGCAUUUGUAACAGUGCUGUAACACCAGGAGUCCUUUCCAUUCCAGACUGUUAUUUAACCCCCUUUUCGCCAAGGACUGUAUGAACAGUUAUUAGUGUUACAAGAGCUCCACCUGCAUUCGGGGACAGGGACAACAAAAAGCUUUAUGAAACAGGCGAGGAUUUCCGCAGCCAAAAUGCAUGCAUCCGCUCUCGGAUUUGUGGCUUGAGAUGAUAAAUAGGAAGAUGGGAAGGGUCUCUGUACCAAGUCAGGACAUUUUGCUCACCUGGCCUUGUUUUGCCUAUUUUGAUUACAAAUUGCUCUCCAAGGUCCUAAGCAGGGGGCUUUCUCAUCACCUACCAAGUAGAAAUGCCAGAGAUACAAUUUGCUUUUCUUGUUUGCUUUUAUUAAAGGUAAAGGACCCCUGAAAGUUAAGUCCAGUCACAAACAGCUCUGGGGUUGCAGCACUCAUCUCGCUUUACAGGCUGAGGGAGCCGGCGUUUGUCCACAGACAGUUUAUCCAGGUCAUGUGGCCAGUAACAGAACGCCAAAACCAGAGCAACACACGGAAAUGCCAUUUACCUUCCUGCCAGAGCAGUACCUAUUUAUUUACUUGCACUUUUUUGGCAUACUUUCGAACUGCUAGGUUGGCAGGAGCAGGGACCAAGCAACGGGAGCUCACCCCGUUGCAGGAAUUCGAACCACCGACCUUCUGAUCGGCACGCCCAAGAGGCUCAGUGGUUUAGACCACAGCGCCACCCAUGUCCUUUGCUUUUAUUAGUAUUUCUAAUUACUAUUUAGGUGGUUGUUUGCAAGCCACUUAGAGAUUUGUUUGUUUUUUAUUGACUAAGCAGUAUAUACCUUUUGCCAAACAACAAAAAUAAAAUAAGUGUAAAGUAAGGAGGGAAGACGACAAGCUAUGCCAGAGUUCAGCGAAACAUAGUGUGAUCAGUGUGAAUUGGCUUCUUUCAGAUGAGAAUAGAGACGAAUGAAAGUGCUUAGUUUGCCCAAUUUUCCAGACUAACAAAAAGGCAGCGCUAUAAUUUAAAGGUCUAUAAAGCUCAGAAGCUCGCACAUUCAUUAGAGGAGCUUGUAAUUUAAAUAGUCAAGUCCUAACUUAUUUUCUGGGAACAAUACAUCAAAUUGCCCUCUGCGAGAAAAAGUUGCAAGAGCCUACCAUCUUUUGGAAGUAGUUUCAUGUCCGUUUACCUAGGAGCAAGUCCCAUUGAUCUCAUGGGGCUUACAUCUGAGUAGACAUGGAUAGGUUUGCCUUGUGUGUGCUUUUACAAUAGAUCAAAUUUAUAAUAAAGUUAUCAAUAUAAAAUUAUUCGAUUAAAAAAAUGAAAAUAAUAAUCUACUGCGGAUCUCUAAGAAACGGUAGCCAGUUUUGCGUCUUUGCUGUCAUAUUCUUGUUCAGCACCACAGAAAUGGCUACUUUUAUCUCAGAGGCAUGACUUUUGUCAGAAAAUUGUUAUGCGGAGUUAUGACAAUAAUUCAAUAUCUAUUUAAUUCCCAGGAACUGGUAGUUAGAAACAGUGCUUCUUUUCUGGGGUGCACAGGGGUACACAUACCCCUAAACAUUUUGUGAAGCUAAGUUUGGCCUCAUUGAGGGGCAGUAUUUCAGUAUGAGUAAUGUUAAGUUGUGGGUGAACAUAUCAGACAACACAGCGAUUCUUCAAACAGCUCUUGUUUAUUCACAGGCCAGAAGAGAACAGAACUGAAGGGAUCAGCCAGCCGGCUUGUAUAGAGCUCCACUACAACGCAACAGUAACAACUUUCUGUAACUAUCCAAUCACUGAACGUCACUUUCAAUUGUCAAUUGCAAUUCCUAAUUUGCAAAUGUGGACCUGAGAGAAAACUAUCUACAGUAUCCCCUUGCUGGCCCAGGGUGAGAACUUCAGUACAUAACAAGUAGGAAAAUGAGAGUACCCCUAAAUAUAUUUUUUAGAAAAAAAGCACUGGUUAGAAGAAUGCUUGUCACACCACUACUCAGAAUCUUCCACCUGAGGCGGCUACCUUACUACAGUGGUGCCUCGCAAGACGAAAUUAAUCCGUUCCGCGAGUCUCUUCGUCUUGCGGUUUUUUCGUCUUGCGAAGCAUGGCUAUUAGCGGCUUAGCGGCUAUUAGCGGCUUAGCGGCUUAGCGGCUAUUAAUGGCUUAGCGGCUUUAAGAAAAAGGAAACAAACUCGCAAGAACUCGCAAGACGUUUCGUCUUGCGAAGCAAGCCCAUAGGGAAAUUCGUCUUGCGGAACGACUCAAAAAACGGAAAACUCUUUCGUCUAGCGAGUUUUUCGUCUUGCGAGGCAUUCGUCUUGCGGGGCACCACUGUAUACCUAAUGAUAGGUAUUGCCCUCUUCAAAAUAUCCCCCAAAUACGCUAUGGGAAUAGUGAUUUGCCAGGGACAAUAGCCAGAAAAAAUAAAUAGGAAUAGCCAAAGUAUUUCAUGGAACCUCUUCUGUUUACUACAAUGUUUGGUUCCUCCAUUCUUGACCAUGAAGAAGAAAAUAUCCCCAAUCCUUAAAAACGUACUUAUUUCCCAUCCUUAGAGCACCCAAGGGCACCAGAGAGGGUGGAGCAGGACAACUGCUCCCAUGUUUUCUCAUGACACUUUCCCCCCUGAAGCUUUUGCUAUUGGCCAUUUUGGGAAAUCAGGUUGAGAACUGGAAGGAUCCUAGCUCAUGCCAUGACUCAUAGUACUCAUACUACUCAUCCUUGUGUUGAAGUGUCAGGCAUACCAUGAGAUGGCUCUGGGCCCACAAAAGAUUUCACCCAGGAGGUGAUAGUAUGCUCCUUUGAUACCAGACACCAAAGGCUGACGUCAUGCCAUUCCACUGUCCGCCUGAAACUACAUUUCUUCAUCUGCCCCCAGAUUCCUGCUGCCAACUCUAGUUUAUUUGGGAGGCCAGGCAGCAAAGAUAUCCAAAGCUAUCCAAACAUUCUCUCAGAAUGCCAGUCUGGUGUUACUGGCACCAGUCCUCCGAGAUCUUCUUCCACCAACAACUUGCUUAUAAUUCAAAGUGUUUCCUGCUAAUACUUGGUCAAUGUCUGCAUUGCUGGAGUCCUGCUGGCCUGGUAUGGGAGGAAGGUAGAGUGCACUCUUUAAAUCAGGAAUGGAUUGAAAAGUUUGAUCUAAGAAAAACACGUAGACCUAUAUUAGAUUAAGGACUGGUUAAGUAAAACAACAAGUUCCCCCUCCCCCUUUUUGUAACGUACAGUGGUAUCUUGGGUUACAGAUGCUUCAGGUUACAGUCGCUUCAGGUUACAGACUCCGCUAACCCAGAAAUAGUACAUCAGGUUAAGAACUUUGCUUCAGGAUGAGAACAGAAAUCGUGCAGCAGCGGGAGGCCCCAUUAGCUAAAGUACCUCAGGUUACCUCAGGUACCUCAGGUUAAGAACAGUUUCAGGUUAAGAAUGGACCUCCAGAAUGAAGUAAGUUCUUAACCUGAGGUACCACUGUAUCUUUGUUGUUGUUCUGUUUUCUACAUGGGUACCAUUUCUUGUUUCUUCUUCUUAUUUGUGUCUUCUCUUGCUCUGUGCUCUCUGUGGUUUCAGGUAGGAGUCUUUCAAAGCCCUACCUGGAGAUGCUGGGGAUGGAAGCUGAGACCUUGAACUGUAGUCACAGAGCCACAGUCCUUCCUAUAUGCCCUUCCAGCUUAGUCUUUCACCUCAGAGAGAGCUCUGUAGGCUCCUAACCAGCAGGAAGGCCUAAACUUGGAUAAAACCCAGUCAAUGAAACAGUGAGUGUGAGAUGGCCGAGUCUGAAGGCAUCAUAACACAAGUGUGCUCGGAUCUGUCUGGCAGCAUUGGUCUGCCACAACAGCUGCUGGUAGAAAGAUCAUGUUGCUUCUUCCAUGGGGAACAAGCAUUUGAAACUUGCCCCCAUGAACUCAGCCGGGGAUUGUUUGGCAUGAAUUAAAAGCAGCAGGUGCCUAGAUGAAAGGAGAUUUAAAACAGUUACAGCCUUUGCUAUCACCAGCAGCCACAAACAAUUCUGCUGUAACAAAUCAUUAAAGGAAGUCUAGAAUGGGGUGGGGGAUCUGUGGUCCUCCAGAUGUUGGUGGAGUAGAUGUUCUAUCAUCCUGAACCAUGCUGGAGCCCGAUAACAUCUGGAGCAAGUGCUCUGGCACUGAGCUACAGCCUCAACCAGUUAAUGCCACAAAUGCCUAUGUGGAGCCUGAACUCCACAGUCAAGAUUCCACACAUGGCAUAUUCCAGCCUUUGACAGUCUUCCAAAGGCUGUAGACUCCAGCUCCCAUCAGUCCCAGCCAACAUAGCGAUGGGAGUUGCAGUCCUAGGUCUUUUGACUCUGUCAGGUUUGUAGUACAGUGGUACCUCAAGUUACAUACGCUUCAGGUUACAGACUACGCUAACCCAGAAAUAGUGCUUCAGGUUAAGAACUUUGCUUCAGGAUAAGAACAGAAAUCGUGCUGCGGCGGCGCGGCGGCAGCAGGAGGCCCCAUUAGCUAAAGUGGUGCUUCAGGUUAAGAACAGUUUCAGGUUAAAAACGGACCUCCGGAACGAAUUAAGUACUUAACCCGAGGUACCACUGUAUUGACAUUUCAACAAUUGUUUUGACAAAUCUGUGCUUAUUAGAAAAGCCUUUUGCAGUCAAAUGCUCUGCCACAUUUCAUAGGUGGUGGAUCAUAAGUAUGCAAGGGUAUUUUGGGAAAUGAUAUAUGAUGAGAUAAAAAAAAAAAGAUGUUUAAAAUGAGUAUACCAAAAAACAAACUAACAAACCCUGAAGUGUUUUUGUUAAGGAUUAUAGGGACAGAAAUCCCCCUAAAUAUGUUAAAGUUGUUUAUGUUUUGCAGCAGCUAGGAUUGUAUAUGCACUGAAAAGGAAGGAAGAAGUUGUUACCAAAGAUGAAUGGAUAAUGGACUAUGCAGAACUGGAAAAAUUAACAGCAAAAUUAAGAGGAUCUAAUGAUUAGUGUUUUACAGAAGAAAGGAUGCCUUUUUCGGACUACUUAAAGAAAUAUUAGAGUAUGAUGAACUCGUGAGCAGGAUUUGAGCCAUGAGCAACAGAAAUAAUUAGAUUAUAAUAUUGUGAUUAUGAGUUAAUAGAUAGAAGAUAGCUGAAGGGGAGAAAUAACAACUCCAUUGAAAAUGGGGUGGGAAGAUGACAAAAAUAAAAGACGUGAUUGUAUUUUGAUUGUUAAAAAUACUGAAACUUAAUGAAAUAUAAUUGGGAGGGGAAAGAAAUGCCUUUUGCAAAUGCUCAUUUGGAAGAGAACUGUAUCCUUCUCAACAGACAUCCUUCUGACUUUGAUUACCGGAUCAAAUCUGAGGUUGUCAUCUCUGAGCGCAUCAACAUGGCCCACACUGGGCAACACUUCACUGACGAUGAGAUGCAUUAUCUUACAUCCAGACAUUGCAACACAGUAAACAGGGAAAUUACAUGGUACCCCUAGCUGAUAAAGAAGCUAAGAAGGCAGGAUUUGUAUUAGACUACGACUGGAAAGUGUGUUGGAACAUGCCAGCAAACAUGUGGUAAGAUAGCAUUUUCUAAAACAUUCCAUGGAUAACAAUUAGAUUUGCCACAGUGGCCUAGAGGAGUCUACUUCUCAUUGUUUGCACGGCUCUGUUUACGAAGAGUCUGGUCACAAAUUUUAAAUCAUGGCUUAUGGGUAAGUAUUUCAUCACACUGAAUUAUUGUCUGACUUCAUUCAUUAUCAGGAUUUUACAUCUUUACUCAAAACACUCAGUUAUCGGGGUUGCUGUCUCCACUAUUCUUUCAAUCUUUGAUCUGUGGCUGUAGAUUAGUAAAGGUAAAGGGACCCUUGAUCAUUAGGUCCAGUCAUGACUGACUCUGGGGUUGCGGCGCUCAUCUCGCUUUAUUGGCCAGCAUGACUAAGCCGCUUCUGGCGAAGCAGAGCAGCACACAGAAACUCCGUUUACCUUCCCGCCGGAGCAGUACCUAUUUAUCUACUUGCACUUUGAUGUGCUUUCAAACUGCUAGGUUGGCAGGAGCAGGGACCGAGCAACGGGAGCUCACCUAGUCACGGGGAUUCGAACCGCCGACCUUCUGAUCUGCAAGUCCUAGGCUCUGUGGUUUAACCCACAGCGCCACCCACGUCCCUUGGCUGUAGAUUAGGGUUUCCCAAACUUGGGUUUCCAGCAGUUUUUGAACUACAGUUCCCAUCACCCCUAGCAAGCAAGACCAGUGGUCAGGGAUGAUGGGAAUUGUAGUCCAAAAAGAACUGGAGACCCAAGUUUGGGAAACCCUGCUGUAAAUCAAGGGCCUUCAAGAUCAAAGACUCACCUUUAAUCUAAAACUGCAAUGGGGAUUUAAUUUAAAAUACUACAGCCGUUUCUUCUAUAGCAGGGGUAGAGAGCAUGGUGACCUGCAGAUCUUUUGGAUUACAAUUCCUCUAAGUCCUGAAAAUUGAGCAGGCUGCCUGGGGCUGGUGGGAGUUGUAUGUCACAAUGACUUGAGGGCACUGUGUUGGCUAUCCGUGUUCUAUACCAGCCUGCCACUCUGCUUCCCAAUCCUAACCCAGGGCUGGGAAUAAUACAUAUUUGCUCCACUCUUCAGAGAACUCUAACACUGCACAUGCCACUUAUUUUAGUGAUGCUUCUCCUGCUACUUGAGAAUGAAUUAAUGGCCUAAUGUGUGCAGUCCUUAAUGAUGUGUCAGUGUGGUGCUAGCCUGUUGUGCAAAACAAAGAGAUAGGUUGGGGGCUUUAUUUCUCUAGAUCAGGGGUCAGCAAACUUUUUCAGCAGGGGGCCGGUCCACUGUCCCUCAGACUAUAUUUUGGAAAGAAAAAGAAAAAAAAAUGAAUUCGUAUGCUCCACAAAUAAUCGAGAAAUGCAUUUUAAUUAAAAGGACACAUUCUACGCAUGUAAAAAUAUGCUGAUUCCUGGACCAUCUGUGGGCAGGAUUUAGAAGGCGAUUGGGACUGAUCUGGCCCCUGGGCAUGAGUAGAAUGUGUCCUUUUAUUUAAAAUGCAUCUCUGGGUUAUUUGUGGGGCAUAGGAAUUUGUUCAUUCCCCCCCCCCCAAAAAAAAAAUAGUCCGGCCCCCCACAAGGUCUGAGGGACAGUGGACCGGCCCCCUGCUGAAAAAGUUUGCUGACCCCUGGUGUAGGGUGCCUGUAUUUUGCUAGCUUCCCAUGUACCCUACCUGCAGAUAUAUAUAUAUACAUAUACACACACAUACAUAUACACCCACACCCACACCCACACACAAACACACAAGUCUUCAAUCCUCUAUUCUUCCAAGGAAACAUAUUCUCCAAAUCUGGCUUGCAAUUCCCUACUUCCAAGGAGCAGGAAACACAGUCACGCACAGAGAAUAUCCUGAACAUUUGUUAACUAUGACAACAACAAACUUAAUCUAGUUUGAUGUCCCAGCUAAUAAAAACAAACAUUAGCCAGUUCAUUUCUUGCCAGCUUUGUAGGGAUGCUGUUUUUGACACACAUACUAAUAAUCCAUUGCCAGCUUUCAGUUGAUGUGUAACUGUGGAUAUAAGCCUCGCUGACCACAUUUGAUGGGAUCAUUCACCACUUUCUUAUUAUGAUCUCUUCUCAAACUUGGCGUGUCAGAGCACACACGUUUUGCAACACGGCUAAUUAUUUAGAAAUCGGAUACGUCAGGUAAAAACACUGUGUCAACAAACCCAGUGGUUUCUUAUACAGGAGAAUCCUGGGUCUCUGAAAAAGAAAAAGUGGGGAGCCUACAGAAAAACAGAAGGAAUAGCACAAUAGAGUCAGAGAGCAAAUGGAACCUUUGAUUCAUUUAAUUAUUUCUCAAAAACCUGGCCAGCACCAGCAGCAUUGAUAGCUCUAAGUCAAUGAAUCAAUUGUGUGAUGCUUCUGGAGCAAAUUUUUUCUCUCUUUGCAUUUUUCACUUAAUAAGAGGGCAAGAUAUGACCUCUUGGCAUUUCUGGGUGGAUACAUCUGAUCCAUUCACUUCAAAGAUAACAAGUAUUGUUCUUUUCAUAUUCUAAAACAUUCUGCAUGUGUUUUCCUUUGCACAUGUGCUUGCCAGAGAAAGAUAGGAUUCCUGUGCCUUUUAAAGUUAACACUGUCCAACUAACCAGUGGUUAAACCACUGAUUUCAGUGGGCUGGAUGCAAACCAAACAUGCAGAAGGUGCCAGGUUCAACAUCUCAUAUCUCCAUGUAUGCUGGGAGGGCCCGUGCCUGUAACAUAGCUGUCAACUUACAGAUUUGAAAAUAAGGGACCAGCAGCCUCGAAAAUAAGGGAUCAGCAGCCAAACUAAGGGAUUUUGCUUAGCUUAUACAUCAAUCCGCCACUAAUGGAGCCAUGCUGCUUUGGCUGCGACUGUGUUUUGCAGGGGGUUGGACUAGAUGAUCCUAAGGGUUUACAACUCCGACCAAAGAAGAGUGGCAGUCAAAACUGAUGAACGACGUCGAGAUGGCAAAGCUUACAGGCAGAAUUAGAAACCAGGAAGAGGACCUCUUUAAUAAAGAAUGGGGAAAGUUUAUAAUUUAUUUGAAAAGCUAUUGUAAAGAGUUACAUACAUUGGUAGGAUUGACAGAAAACUUGUAGUAAAAAUUUGAACCAUGGAUGGACAAAUGAUUUAUAAAAAUAGAGUUAUGAAAGGGAUGCAGAGGGGGAAAUCACUACAUUAAGAUGGUGCGCUGGUUGGAGGGUAUGCUAAGCAGCACGUCGGGGCUGCCGUCGUCCCAGCGCAAGGAGUUCCAUCGGCCCUUCCCCGCCCAAGAGAGAGGGAGGGAGGGAGACUCUCGUCCACACCGCCCGCGAGCCUGGCUUGAGGCGGUUGCGGCGCCUCCGGCUUCCCCUGGCAGCACAGCGGAAGUCUCGCAAGAGAGGGGCUGCCCGCCCGCCGCCACCCAUCUCCUCAUGACACGCCCCUGAGGGGGAAAAGGGAGAGACAGAGACGUGGCAGCUCAUGUGCGUGCUCUCUCUUGCUCUCUCAAGGCGGAAGACCCCAAGCCGCUGCUUCCCUCCCGAGCCGGGCGAGCAUGAAAUCCAGGAAAUUUAAGGGACAUCAUCAAUCCGGGACAGCAGAAGGGACACAGUGCUGGGAUAAGGGAGUUUUCCGCCAAAUAAGGGACAGUUGACAGCUAUGGCCUGUAACAUUGUAGAACAGCUGCCUGUCGGUAUAGACAAGGGUUUCAAAAACUGCUUUUGGACUCCAAUUCCCAUCACCCCUGGCUACUGGCCCUGCUAGCUAGGGAAGAUGGGAGUUGUAGUCCAAAAGCAGCUGGAGACACCAAGUUUUGGGUGGACUGGUGUAGACAAUAGUGAACUAGGUGGACCAACGGUCUGAUGCUGUACAACUUAAGUUCCCAGGUGACGAUAGCUACUUUACAACUGAGGAUUGCUUUGGAAUCUUUGCUGAAUCCAUAGUUCCAUGUGCGUCUUGGUCCAAAUUUGCCUCUGCCUGACUAAGCUGGGGUGUAGAGUAGGAGGCAGGAGGGUGGGCUAAACUCUGUGCCAUAGACUGGCCCACAGGAUCCAAGCUUCAGGCUGGUCACCUAAGGAAUAUGUAUGAACAAGCAGCAGAAGCUGUUCACAGCAAUCAAGAUGUUUCCUAUGCAUUACUUUACCCAUCUGUAUUCACAAGAGUGUUUCUAUUUACUCCAGCACAUCGGUUUAGUGUCAACAUUAUGUACUGUACUGCAUGAAACAUACUAUUUCUACCUUUAAUGUUUUAAAAAUGAAUGAAUAAAUAAACAAACUGCACUGUGCAUAAAGAGGAAAGAUGGUACUAAACAGUCUAAUAGACCCAAUCUAAAUUGCACUGCUCAUUUGCUCUUAUAAUAUAUAAUAGCAUAUAAUUUGAUCUACGGGGCUAUUUGUCUUUCAAAUCUCAAGAGGGAAUAUUUAAUUUUCAUAGUGCUUAAUACUUUUAUUCAAAACAGAAUGAUGAACAUUAUACAUUACAAACACAAUUCAUUUAAAGUGCUUCAAUAUUUCCCCCUCCAUUCAUUCAGGUGUAUAUUCAAAAGGCAACAGAGAUAAACUUACUGGCUUGGCAAGUCUCUUGAUAUGGCUUAACUUCUCCUCAAGAGAUAUUUAUUUUGUGGGCCUCAGUUACCCAAGAGAGAACGAGAAAGACAUAGGAUAGGUUCAUAUAAAAAGAGAAAAACAAUUUUAAAGCACUUUCGUCAGCUGUCUAACUGAAUUAUCAAAAUAUAGAAUCGAGUUGGAAGCAAUCCUCUCGUUCGAGUGUGCAGAACCUUUGGCUCUCCAGUUGUUGAUGAUGAUUAAAUUUCAAUACCGCUCUUCAUCCAAGGAUCACAGGCUGGUUUACAACAUAAAAACACAAAAAUCUGUAACAUAGUAACAAAGAAAAACAAUAACCCCCACCACACAAAGUUUAAAAGGCCACAUAGACUGCUUAAUUAGCCAAAGGCCUGGGAGAAAAGGAAUGUUUUUUUCUGGCACCUGAAGAUAUGUAGUGAAGGCAUCAGGUGAGCCUUCCUGGGGAGAGCAUUCGACAAGAGGGGAGCCACCACAGAAAAGGCCUGUUCUUGUGUUGCUGCCCUCCAGACCUCUGACAGUGGAGGCACAUGAAGAUGGGCCUCAGAUGAGGAUUGCAGGGUUGAGGUCGGUUCAUAUGGGGAGAGGUGGUUCUUGUUCAGUUACAACUCCCAUCAUUCCUGGCUACUGACCAUGCUUGCUGGGACUGAUGGGAACAUCUGGAAGGUCAAAGCAUUCUCCAUGCCUGAUCUAGCUGAAUGUCUUGGAAGAAAUCCACCACUAAGUUGUGGCAUCUGCUUAAAAUCCUAAAAGUAUGUUCAUCUUAAUGUUUAGUCCAAAAAUAACCCUUCUUUUGCAAUUUGAACCCAUUGGUACAGGUCAUAUUUCUGUUCCUUUUCCUGACCCUCUUUCAAAUAGCAUAAGCAUCUAUAUCAAGGGCUUGACAUCUAUAAAGCUGCAGCUUUUAAAUAAACUCACAAAAUGCUCAUGAACGUUGGCAGAGAUGGAUUUACGGGGCUUUUAGCUUACACUGUUCCAUAUACAACUUAAUCUCUCCUCACCCAAAGUGAUAGCAAGAAAUGCAAAAAUUUCGGCUUGUAAAAAGGAGUCUGCACCUUAGCCCUAGGAAUGGCGCUGCAGAGACAAAAACCAGAUGCCAUGAUCAAAACUCCCACAUUCCUCCACCCUUUUCCUGCUACGUAACAAGCUGGUCCUGAAACUCUGGGGGCUAUUGAGCAUAGUCUCCAAUACACCGCAACAAACUAUGGUCAGAAGAGAAAAUCUAGCGCUUCUCAGGAAGAAGCACUUGGACAACCCAUACACAUAUAAAGGGUAAAGGGACCCGACCGAUAGGUCCAGUCGUGACCGACUCUGGGGUUGCGGUGCUCAUCUCACUUUAUUGGCCGAGGGAGCCGGCGUACAGCUUCCGGGUCAUGUGGCCAGCAUGACUAAGCCGCUUCUGGCAAACCAGAGCAGCGCACGGAAACGCCGUUUACCUUCCCGCUGGAGUGGUACCUAUUUAUCUACUUGCACUUUGAGGUGCUUUCAAACUGCUAGGUUGGCAGGAGCAGGGACCGAGCAAUGGGAGCUCACCCUAUCGCAGGGAUUCAAACCGCCAACCUUCUGAUCAGCAAGUCCUAGGCUCUGUGGUUUAACCCACAGCACCACCCGCGCCCCAUCUACACAUAUAAAUACCAUAAAUAUGGGGCAAUAUGGGUCUGGGGGGGAAAUGCUGUAUGUGCCCUGUAGCCAAUCAAUCCAGGGGGUGAAGGGGUUUUUUGGCAUAUUUUCUAGAAAGUUGUCUCAAGGAGAUAUUUAAACCAAGAUGAUCAAGGGUCUGGAAACCAAGCCAUAUGAAGAAUGGUUGAAGGAGCUGUGUAUGUUUAUAGCCUGGAAAAGAAGAAGCUAGGAGGAGAUACGAGAGCCCUCUUCAAAUAUCAAAAGGGCUGUCAAAUUGAGGAUGGAGCAAACUUGUUUUCUUCUGCUCCAGGACUCGAACCAAUGGCUUCAAGUUACAAGAAAGGAGAUUCUAACUACACAUCAGGGAAAACCUUCUGACACUAAGAACUGUUUGACAGUGAAACGGAAUCCCUCAGGAGGUUGUGGACUCUCCUUCCUUUGAGGGUUUUUAGCAUAAUUUGGAUGGCCAUCUGUCAUGGAUGCUUUAGCUGAGAUUCCUG